CAGCCUCAGGCUCACUCCUAUGGGGGCACGUAGUUCUAGGGAAGUAAGGUUGCAUUAUACCUCUCACUCGGUGCUAAAGGUUUCUCCUGGACUUAGCUCAAAUCAUUUCAAAGACAAUCUACAACAAAAUAAUUUCAGUAAUAUAUAAAUAUACAUUGGAAGCCAUCAUGCUUCCCAUCUAUCAAAAUCAACCACAUUGUGAAUUUCUUUCACACUCAAGUUCAAAACAACUCCAUUAAGACCAAAAGGUCAAAUCAUUCAAAAUAUCUCAAAUAUUCAACAUCAACGUGCUUAUAACACACACUUUUUCAAAUAUCAUUCAAUAUUCAUGCUUUAUAUCUCCACACAUGUAAAUUCAUAUUUCAAAAUCAUAAACAUCAAGAUUUCAUAAUAAUUAUCAUAAGAUAUGGGUUUAUGCUUCAAAUUCGUAAAAGAUCAAAUAAAAAUCAUACCUUUGUAAAGAAAAGUACUUUUGGGCACAAGAACGAAAGAGAGUUCUUGUUGAAAAACCCCACAAAGGUUUUCUUUUUGAGGGAAUUUGAUGAAAUAUACCAUAUAAUGCUUAUAAUAGGCUUUAAUAUAGGGUUUGGAUAGAUUUUGGGUGAGGGGGAAGGACCAAAACACCCCUAAAAAUCAAAAAAAUUCUCAAAUAUGUCCUUUGGUGGACUAUUUUGAUAGUCUGAAGUAAAUCAACCAUAACAUUUUACUCCAAUAUCCAAAUUGGAUGAAACCAAUUUCAUUAGAAAGAGGACUCUCAUAUCUUUCCGUUGAUAUAUAGUAUCUCACCCAGAUCAUUGUGUACGAGGAGUUAUAAUUGUUUGAAGUUGACCCAAAAAUUCGCUUUUGAUAGGCUGAAGUACUUUGACCAUAACUUUUUGCUCCGAUAGACAAAUUGAAUGAAACCUUUUAUUGGAAAGAGGACUCGCAGAUCUUUCCGCUGAUAUAUAGUAGAUCACCCAGAUCAUUAUGUACAAGGAGUUAUGAUCAUUUAAAGUUGGAGUAAAAAUACGCCAGGCCUCAGUACUUUUUCUUGCACGUUUUACUGUUCACUACUAUCCACGGUUCGAUCGGAAUGUUCAUAACUCAUCGCUCGGGUGUCCGUUUUUGAUGAUACACAUAUCGUUGGAAAGCUUAUUCGAUACUAUACACAAUGAUGGGUCAUAAUGUAAGACAUUUUGCGUGGAAAUUUUAUAAUUUAUCCUAGAAGAUAGAACCCAACACGUUUACGCACAAAAUUUCAACAAAAAAUUUCUUGGGGUAUUAUAAGGAACAACCUCAAUAUUGAAGCUUUUUGGUUCACCCUCGAAAUGGUAUACGACAUAAAGAUCCCAAUAAAAUUAGUAGGAUUCAUUUUUACAUCCUGUGUUGUUAAUCCUGAAAGCACACCCUUCAAGUUUAGUAGCUAGGUCAUUGCAUUAGUAAUGUAAAAUUUAACAUUGGGGGAGGGGGGUAAAACAUGCGGAAUGAUGGCUCAUGUCUCAGUAGGUUCAACAUAUUCUAUGUCCUUAUCUUUAUCAUAUAGAAGAAGAUGCUGAUAUGCAGGAAUUAUUGGAGCUCUGCCUCUUUGAACUCUAUCUCGGCGCUCAACCACUUUUCUUGAUUAGACUAGUUCUCCUUGUUGUGUAACCCUAUCCUCUUUAGCUAAACUUACCUCCUCUGACACUUCCGCUAAUAAGUGCUCUAUUUGUCUAUCUGUAAUAUUUUGUGGAUCUCCUGAAGAAUAAGGAAUUGCAAUAUUAGGAUCAACAAGUAAAGUAGAGGGUACAAUUUAAGGGUCUCGAACCUAAGAAAGAACACCAUCACGAACUUGCUUUGACAUCCUUUGCGGUGUUUGAACAAUUCUUUUAGGCUUUGGUUUAAAAGGGAGUAAGGGAUUACCUCUUCUCCUAGUGUUAGACAUACACCAGCGUAUGUAAAAUUAAGAAUAGGAAAUAAAACCCGCAAUUUUUACCAAAUUCAAUCAACAAUCGACACCGUCUUUUCCAGCAAUGGCACCAAAAUUUGGUAUCACCCAAAAACUAACCUCCAUAGAAGUAUACUUUGAUCGAUGUAAAAUAUAGUAACCCAAACCCAGUUGGGGUCGAACACACAGGGAAAAUGUUGAACAGUCUCUCAAAAUUGACAAAAUCUACUAGCAAUUUGGAUAAGUAAAUGGGGGAUUUUGAAAUCGACAGUAAGUAGUAACGGAACUUGAAUGCAUGAGUUUGUAAGUAAUAGAAUACAAACACUAUGACUGUGCUCCCCUUAGCUUCUCAACUCUGUAAGCUUCUCGUGUUUAAUUCACCGAUUCUGCUGCUCUGUAUGUAAAGUCGACAAGUUAUAUAUUAUCAACCGUCUUUUGAAUGUGAUGAUAAAUCUUACCAUUUACCUUGUGAGUUACAGGGUGUCUCCUUAUUUCUCAUUAUUUAUAACCUCAGUUCAACUUUUACCUUUUGGACCUCAAGUUGAUUAGAUGAGAUGGCAGAAUUAUAAGAUGGACGUGAAUCCUAAAUUACUAUCUUAAUCCCCUUUUCCUAAUCUUAAACUCCCUUGUGAGGAUGCUCUCUAAUACAGGAAACCCUCAAGCUUCUACAGUAUCUCUAAGGUCAAUCAAUAUGAAGAAGAUAAAGAUACAUGCAAUAAUAAUAGAAUAGAUGAAUCUCCCACUUUCUCUAUGUAAUUAAUCCUCCAGGUUACCCAUAACCCUAGUUAAGAAAAUUAGCCACUCAUGUUCAUGAAACAAUCCAUGAUAAUCAAUAAAUAAUACAUGUAAUUAAUUGCACUAGAAUAAGAGGAAGAAAAUCCAAAGUCUUCGAUUGAAUAAAACAUAAAAUCUCAAGAACAAAAUAUCUAUGAGUAAUGUAUGUUAAAAGUAAUGUAAAAGCGUCUAACCUAAUAAAUGAAUAACAUUAAGGUAUUUGUAUUAUUUUAAAAUAACCCAAAAAUCCUAAUUUAAUGGAAAAGGAAAAGUAUGUCGGCACAAGGUAUGACUCGCGUAAUCCACUUGUAAGGUACUCUUACAAGUCGUACAGUGCUAGUUGUAUGUAUUCCAGUAGCUGAUCUCAUAGACUUCAAGUUUCAUUUAUCCUUAUGACUUAUCUCCAUGAAUCGUACCCAUACCUUAUGACUUGUGGUCUUUACUCGUCACCACUUGGGCCUCAAUCUUUCAAUGCUUUGGACACUGGUCUUUCACGAUUUAUCCUUACGAGUCAUACUCAGGUCUUACAACUCAUUUUCUUCUAUAACUUCAACUAUGAAAUAUAACUUUGGUUUCUACUCUCUCAAUGACUAAUUCUCCUGACUCAUAGCCAUAACUUAUAGUCCAUAACUCCAGUCGUAUUCACUCUUCACUUUACUUCCCUACUUGAAUUUCGUUACUGUCCUACUUACGAAUAAACCUAUGAGCCAUAUGAUAUGUUGAUGACUUUUAGGAUGACUCGUAAUAUGCCCAGACUUUAUCAUUUUCAGAGAUUUUUCUUAAAAUUUUAUUUCAAGGUGCUUCAUACCUAUUUUUCCUACAAUCAAGAAAUAAACACCUCAUAUUCACCAAAAUAACUUAAUUUCAAGCAUAAAUUCCUUGUUUUUAUGCAUUGAAUGUGUCGCGUUUCCAUGACACAUCAGAUGUUGGGCGUUACAUGCAACAUGUUUUGCAUCCAUCUCUAUUGAUAAGUGGUAUAUAUCCAAGCCAAACCAAUCAACCCUUUAAAUACAAUAUUGAUUUUCUCUUGCCAGGAGUGUGCACUUGUCACACAUGCUCUCAUUAUGAUCCAACAAUUUAUUAAUCACACUCCAAUAGCAAUGCAUCCUAUCAAAUGGAAGAGGAUCAAUAAAUACAGAGUCUUCAUCACUCCAUACUUCUUUUGCCUAGGUUGUCAUCUCAAGAAGAGUAGGAAACAAGAUAAACAAAACAAAAGAAAAUAAAACCCGAUAACACCUAAAACUUCAAUCAAGAAUUCCGAGACCGUAUUCCCUAGCAAUGACUCCAAAAUUUGAUAACACACAAAAUACAUCUCCAAUUGAAGAAUGAAAUGAUCACUGUCAAAUAUAGUAACCCAACUAGAAUAGGGUCGACCCCACAGAGAAUAGGCCACAAAAUAUGUCUCGAACUUGUUAAAAUCACCAUGCAGUACAGGAAAGUAAAAGAAGGGAUUUGCUGAAAUAUAAAAAGGAAAAGAAUUGGUUGCUCUUGGUUGUAAACAAUCUAAGAAGAACACUAGGCUUAUGUUCCCCCGGCUUCUCAACUCAAUAGACUUAUUGUGCACUGUUGAACUAUUCUAAUACCUUGCAUAUAAAAUAUGAUAAGCUAUGUACCAUCAACAAUCUUUUGUAUGAGCAGAUCGAUUUCACCUUUUACCCUUUGAGUCUCAGGACAUCGCCUUACUAACCCUUAUCUUGUAUCCCAGUUAACUAUUACCUUUUGGGUCUCUAGUUGUUAGAUGAUAGUUAACGAUCUUACUUAGAUAGUACCCAGAGGCAUGGAUUUACCAUUAAUCUUUAAAUUACUGUUGUGAUCUUCUUUUUCUAGUCACUACUCCUCUUUUGGAGUAGUAGCAAUAAUAUCGAUGGGAUCUUAAACUUAGCCUUUGCUAAAAAAUCAAUAAGAACAGAGAAAACCAAAUACAUGCAAGAAUCUUUAUCUAGAAUGACUUGGAACUUCCUCUACUUCGUUAAUACGCUAGGGUUUCCACAAUCCUGGCUAAGGGAAUUAACCGCUCAUAGUUAUAAGAUCAAUCAUGGAAUCCAUAGAUCAAAUUAUAAAAGCAAUCUCACAAUAAUAAGAUAAGAAAUCCCAAAGUCUUAAAUUAAAUAACAAACCAAGCACAAAGAGAGUAUAGGAUAGCCCCUAAGGGCCUAUCCCUGAAUAUGUGAAUGUAUGAAUUUAUGAAUUAAUACAAAUCCUAAAGGGUAUUUAUAGAUUACAAGAAACCCUAGAUGUCAAAUUCUAACUAAAAUAGGAAAACUUAAUUACCCAUACAUAAAAGUACUUAAAAACAUCAUAAGAGUGUGAUUGGAAUAUAUGGAAACCCUAGGAAAUAAUUUCAGAAAGAUCUGGAAAAAUCACCAUCGGCAGCUACAUGUGGUCUCUACUUGCACCCUGACCCUAGGUGUAGGUACAAGUCCUACAGCCUAGCUCUCGAGAUUUCUACCUCCGAUACUUGCUUUUCUAACAUACGAAACUUAUGUGCUACUUUUUGUCCUAAAGUUGACUUAGCAAAUGCAAAAGUCCCCACUAUCAGAUAGAUAAUUGAAUUAUCUUUCUAACAAUACCAAUUUUGCCUCAAUACGAUAUCAAGGUGAAUAGUUAUGGCUAAAUUACUGAAGCAUUGUCAACUCCCUGGAUCUUCAACUCUGGCACUUGCAACCAUGCUUCAAAUCUUCAACUUCAAUCUUAUGCUUUGGUUACAUAUAAGGCAAAAAGUGUCAAGAAUACCCAAUAAUGAUCAAGUAAGUUGCCAAAAACAUUACUUUUGAUUUUUUUUCUUGAAUUUUGCAGCCAAAACUUGAUUUCCUGCAAAACACUCUAAAAACAUCUCAAAUCCAAUAAAAUAGACUUAAGUACACGCAUAUUCUCAUAGUUUUAAGUAUCGUAAGUGCAAUAUUUCUAUAGUACAUCAUGUUCACGGACACAAGAAAUAAAUUUGUUCUAAAAGCAAAAAAAAAAUAGAUAUCAACGAAUAUCAGUUUGGGGAAUAGGUUAAUUGCUCAUCAAAUAGUAGAUUACAAGUUCCGUAUCGAUGGUUAUGGUGAUGAUUCCAUGGUCGAUCUUCAAACAAGAUCUUGUACAUAUAGAGUUUUUGACUUGGAUAAAAUACCCUAUCCACUUGCUAUGGCGGCGCUUUGAGUCCAAUACGAUGGACAUUAUGGAACUCAAAUUUAUUACUCAUCUCCAUAUUAUUUGGUGGAAAGAUAUAUAAUGUCAUAUAUUAGAAUAUUAAUCUGGUUCCUCCUGAAGAAUCUUAGUUUGUUCUUGUAGAGAUUGUGGAGAGAUUAAUACCUCCUCCAUAAAUUAACCCAAGCACUAUAAAAUCAAGUAAAAGGAGAUAUAAAAGGAGGUGUGGAGUUGGAGAAUCAUUUUCAUCAAGAAAAAACAAGUGCUUCGUAUGUAAGAAUGCUGGCCACAAAAGAACUACAUGCCCGGAUUAUAAUGCACCAUGAUAGUUGUAAUAGUAAAAUUUGUUUUGUUGUUUGUUAUGGACUUUGAUUUUUUUAACUCGCUGUUGUGAAUGUAAAUGCUAUUAUUUAUUAUAUAAAAUAUAUUUUUACUACCUUGUAAAUCAAUAAAAAGAGGUAAAACAUGAACUAAAUGCAAUACACUACAAUAAUAUUUUCAGCAGAUUACCCAUCUGUUGCAAUAGAUGGAGAUUUGCUAGAAGAACACAAUAUUAUUCAUCAAACUGGAAUGUGUUCCUCCAACAGAUGACCAAUCUAUUCAACAGAUGGUUCAUCUAUUGAAAGAACUCAAAACUCUUGCUAUUACUACUAGAUUCAAAAUUUUGUGAAACACUCAAUCCUUACCUCAACCAUUAACAUGUUGAGAAGAAGAAAUAGACAGAAUGAAAAUUAAACAAGAAUUAAAAAGUCAAAGUCUACCAAACAUAAAAUUUUUCAUCAAACAAAAAUAAAAUACAUUAGGUAGGUUGAUCGGAUAUGUAUAAAAAAGUACAUAUGAAAAUAAAAAAUAUAAACCAAUUAUUAUUAUUGUUAUUAUUGUCAACCGAUCAAUCGUCAACCAACAGUAGUAGGGCCCUCUUCAUCCUUUGGAUCUCUUGAAUCAUCCUUGCUCUUACGGAGCCCAACUCCUACUAGAGUUCAUUAACCUACCUCUGAAGUUCCUGCACGGUGUCGUGCAGAAUAGCAAUGUUCCAAAUAGUAUCAUCCAUAUCUAGAACACUCAUGAAUUGACCAGAAACAUAAACACAAAGAAAAAGAGUCUAAAUACAAUACAACAUAUACUACCAACUAGUAUAUUUACACACAAAAAAACUUACCUCAACGAAAAAGUAAUCUACACAUUAAAAAGAAGUGAUUGAAGUUGUAAUAUGAAUGACAAGAUGAUAAACUUAAAUAAAGUAGAGUAGAAUGAACGAGUAAGGAAGGACCUAUUUAUAAAGGGCUGAAUUUGAAUGUGCUAGGAAAAAAGUCAUGACUGUUCACCUAUAUUUUAUUAAUUACAUUUAAAUUGAUAACUUUUUUAUUACUGUGAAAAGUCUUGACUUAAUUAAAUCAAACUGGUGACUUUUAACUAUUGUGAAAAGUCAUGACUUUUCAGCUUCUUAUAUUAAUUAGUUUUUAAUAUUAAAUAACUUUUUUUCACAAUUAAAUAAUCGAAGACUUCUCACCUUUUCAAUAACCAUUUCUUUUCAGAAUAACCAUUUUUAUUGAGCUGUUGCAACAGAUGGUCAAUCUGUUGCAACAGAAAACCCGUCUGUCUAACAGAUUUACCAUCUGUUUCAACAAAUGGUUUAAGUAUACAACACAUGAACCAUCUAUUGCAACAGAUAAGUUAUCUGUUGUGAUAGAUGGACCAUCUAUUGGAAAGCUAUUUUGAUAUCUUCCAACACCUUAUUCAUCUGUUCCAACAAAUGGAGAAUUUGAUUCAUCCAUUAUUUUGAUUGUAUUAGACAAAAAGCCACAACUGUUCACCUCUUUUUUAAUAAUCAUGUCCCUUAAUUAAUUCAAACUAGUGACUUUUCAAUUAUUUAAAUUACAAAAUAGAUUUAAAAACAAAAAAGGUGAAAAGUCACGACUUUUUGCCUAUUUAUUAUUAAUAUCAGUUAUUAAAAUUAAAUAACUAUUUUUUUACAAUUUUAAAUUGUAUUCAUCAUUUAUUUCCUUAUUAUUCAUUUACGAACUAUUUUUCUUUAUUAAAUAAUCAAAAAUUCAUGAUUUUUCACCCUUUCAAUAACCCUUUCUUUUAUUAAAUAAUCAAAAAGUCAUGAUUUUUCACCCUUUCAAUAACCCUUUUCUUAUUAAUAACUUUUUAGUCAGUUUUUUCAACUGAUGGACCAUCUAUUGAAACAGAUUUUUCGUUUGUCUGAAGACACAAAUCAGUGGCAAAAACUAAUUGUUUUAUGUUCUUCCAGUAGAUUUAUUACAACAGAUGUGUCCUCUAUUGGAAGAAGAUAAUUUUGAUUUUUUCCAAUAGAUUACCCAUUUAUUGCAAUAUAUUGGUCAUUUGUUGGUUGAACGCAAUCAAGAUUGAUGAACUGUAUUGUAUUCUACCAGCCAAUGUACAUAUGUUGCAAUAUAUGGGUAAUUUCCUUAAAAAAAAUUUUGUAGUCUGUCGUAUUCAGUUCUUGUUUUACCUUUUUUAUUCAUCCACAAGUUAAUAAAAACAUAUUUAGUUAACAAAUAUUAACAUUUACAUCCCUUAUAAUGAGUUAAAAUUAUCAAAGUCUAUAACAAACAACAACACAAGUUUACUAUUACAACGAUCAUGGUGCGUUACAUACAUAGCACAAGAAGGGAGGUUCUCUUAACCAAUAUAAACCAUGUGAGCUACACGGAGUCCAACGUCUUGACUACCUAAGAAGGAAACCUCACGUUGGGGAGAAGUGUCAUACUCUUGCCGGGGAGUAUAACCUAACCCAGGUGAUCGAUCACAAGCUAAAUCUGUCAUUCAUAUAAAUGGGAAUAACCUGAGUUUGUACCUAUACUGGCUACAUAGUUCUUUGGAAGAUAGGGCACCAUAUCCCAAUUCCAUUCAUUUAAUAUUGAUCCCACACUUCCUGCUCGAUGCUAAAUACUAAUCCCUCUUAAAUUUGUAUGCUCAAACCAUUGAAAAUCCACUUUUAAAACUAGCAUAAGGAUUUAUAAGAAAAACUAGUUAUGCAUUUAUCUAAGUAAAUCUGUAAAUAAAGUUGUUCUGAGUUUUGUAAACAAUAAUAUUCUUUAGUGGAUUCCAAAUCUAAACCAUUGAUCAAAGAUCAAAGCUUUUCUGAAAAUUUUAAAAUAAUCUGCUCAUAAGAUGCUUAAAGCAUCAUCUUUCUUGAAAUAAUAAUAUUCAAUCUUAGGAUAGUAACCCAUGUAUCUAUCUCAUAAUAAAUCAUCAUAAUAAUCAUGUUUAAUGAUGUAAAUAUUAAUAAAACAAUCCAAAAUCUGGAAACUUCAGCAAUAUGCAUGAAAAUAUAAACAUAAGCAUGGAAUUCAACUUCUAAAUCAUUGAAAAUAUGAUAAACAUGUAAAUAACAAUAAUGGGUAUAAACCCUAACUUAAAUUUAAUGGAAAAUCACAUAAAUUGCAGUAAAUUUGUAAAUAAAGUAAAGUUUUGGGCACAAGAAUGAAAGAAUUAUCCAUUUUCAAACCCCACAUACCUUAGAUGAUGAACUUGAUGCACAAGCUUACUUUUUGAGACUCUAUUCACACUCUUGAAUGAAGAUUCCUGAAGCUCUUGGUCUAGGGAUCUUAAAUCUUAAAUUAAUUUGGCGAAAGGAUGGUGGAAUCUUGAGUUUCUUGGAGAUGAAUAUUGAAGCCUAGGGUUUUGGAUGAAAGUAAUUUUGAUGAAACCCAGCAUAUAAUGCUUUUAAAAAGGCUUUAUUCUCGUGUUUGGAUGGAUUGGGGGUUGGGGAAAAGUCCAACAUACCCCCUUUAACUCCUGAACGAAACUGGAAAAAUAAAUUGGGGCCCUAAUUUUUGGCCUUGGCGCGACGCACCACAAUCGUUCCAAGCUACUAGAAAAUGCCAACUGGGAACUGAGCAGACUUCGUGAUCUAGGGUCAUUGCAGUGCCCCUUUGAAAUGCCAUUUUGGCAUAUGGCGCGAUGCGCCGUUAUUCCGCUAGACAUCUAAAAUUUUUCCAACGGGAAAUUUACCCUCUCUGCAAUGCACCAAUAUCGCGAAGGACCACUGGAAAGUGACAAUUAGGAAUUAACACUGCUCCCCGACAUGCUAAAAGUCCAAAUGAUGGUGUUUUAUGAUUGGGACUUAAAAUAUCCAUAACUUCUUACCCGGUUAUAGGAUUUAGGCGAAUCUUAUAUCGUUAGAAAGCUUAUUCAAUUGCCUAUGACAUGGAAAGUUCAAAUCUAAAGAAUUCAACUUAAGUUAAACAUCAUUUAUUCUAAUAUAUAAUCCUUGACAUUUAUUUGGGGUGAGUUUAAGCUAGGAAAAUCGUGGGGUAUUAAAAUAUCCCCCCUUGGGAACAUUUGUCCUCGAAUGUGGCUAGCUAAGAUGAAAUUGUUGAGGAAUCUGAGAGAAUAAGAUAGUGCGCACAACUGAAAUGAAUUGAACAUCUAAAUCUAAUUCAUUUUGAGCUUCUGAGUAAUUCUGAGAGUGCAUGAACUUAGAUGAGGACAUCUAUAUUGCUGGAUCUGAGUUAGCAGAGAAAAGGUGAGGGCACUUGGCUCGCAUAUCUCCUUUUGCUUCCCAAGUGGCGCCCUCAACAGACUGAUUCUGCUAAAGAACUUUGACCUAGGAAACUUCUUUGUUCCUUAGUCUACGGAUUUAAUGAUAUAAAAUCUCAACUUGAAUCUCUUAAUAUGGAAGGUUUUUCUGAAUUCCGAGCAUUCUAAAGGAGCUACAACGGUGGAGUCAUUGGUACUCUUCUUAAGCAUAGAGACGUGGAAUACAGGAUAAACUGCUGACAAGUCUAUGGGCAACUGGAUCUCAUAAGCUACUUUCCCAACUCGACUCAAAAUUCUAUAAGGUCCAAUAUAUUGGGGACUAAGCUUCCCUUUCUGGCCAAACCACUUCACCCCUUUCAUGGAUGAAAUCUUCAGAUAUACUAAAUCACCAACUUCAAACUCGAGGUCCCUUAUUCUCACAUCUGCAUAGGAUUUCUGAUGACUCUGGGCUAUUUUCAAUAUCUCUCUUAUCAGCUUAACUUUCUCCAUAGCUUCAAACAUUGAAUCAGGCCCAAGCAAAGUGGCGUCACCCACUUCAAACCAACCUAUGGGUGAUCUACAUCUCCUUCUAUAAAGAGCUUCAGACGUAGCCAUCUGAAUGCUAGCAUAAUUACUGUUAUUAGAAGCAAACUCAAUCAAUAAUAAAUGCUCAUCCCAACUACCCUUGAAAUCAAGAGCGCAUGCCCUCAACAUAUCUUCUAAAGUCUGAAUAGUCCACUCUGCCUAACCAUCUGUCUGAGGAUGAAAAGCUUAACUAAGAUGGACUUGGGUUCCAAGACCCUUCUGAAAAUAUCUCCAAAAUUGGGAAGUAAACUGAGUACCCCUAUCCGAGAUGAUGAAAAGGGAAAUACAUUCAAUUUGACUAACUCUCGGAUAUACAACUUAGCAUAAUGUUCAGCUGUAUAGGACAUAUGAACUGGCAAAAGAUGCGCUGACUUAGUCAAUCUAUCUACAAUAACCCAAAUUGAAUCAUAAUGAUGACGUGAUUGGGGUAAACCAAUCACAAAAUCCAUAUUUAUCUCUUCCCACUUCCAAUUGGAGAUACCAAACUCUUGCGAUGUACCACCAGAUCUUUGGUGCUCUACCUUAAACUAUUGAUAAGUUGCACACUUAGCUAUGAACUCCGCUAUAGCUCUCUUCAUACCAUUCCACCAAUAGAUCUCCCGCAAGUCGCAAUACAUCUUGGUAGCAUCUGGAUAAAUAGAAUUACAUGCACCAUGUGCUUCUGCCAUAAUUUUGUGCCUCAAAUCAUUAACACAAGGCACACAUAAUAUACUUUGGUAUCUCAACACACCAUCUCUCCUUUGUGAGAAAACCUCUACCUUUUGGGUUUUAACUGACUCCUUCAGUUUGACCAAACUAGAAUCCAUAUCUUGCUUUUCCUUCACUUCAAAAGCUAGGGAUGAUUUGGAACUUCUCUGAACCCAAAUAUUCCCUUUAGCUGAAUCAAUCAACCUAAUACCCAAUCUAGCCAAAUAAUGAACUUCUCAUGGUAAAUCUUUCUUACCAUUCUCCAUAUGAGCAACACAGCUCAUAGACAAUCGGCUAAGGGCGUCUGCCACUACAUUGGCCUUGCUCAGAUGAUACAACACACUCAUGUCAUAAUCCUUCAACAACUCUAACCACUUUCUCUCAUAGAGAUUUAAAUCCCUCUAAGUAAAUACAUAUUGUAAGAUUUUUGUGGUAUGUGAAUACAUCAACACGAACACCAUACAGAUAAUGUCUCUAAAUUUUUAGAGCGAAUACCACUGCAGCUAAUUCCAGAUCAUGGGUUGGGUAAUUCUUCUCAUGAGGCUUCAACUGUCAAAAGGAAGAGGCUAUAUGACCUUACCUCUCUACAUCAAUACAUAACCCAAACCAACUCUAGAGGUAUCACAAUAUACCAUGAAACUAUCUGUACCAUCAGGUAACACUAACACUGGGGCUGAAGUGAGUUGAGUGUUCAACUCCUGAAAACUCUUAUCAUAGGAAUCUAACCAUAGGAACUUAACUAUCUUUUGGGUCAAUCCAGACAUAGUAGAUGCAAUAGAUAAGAAACCUUCAACAAAACAGCGGUAAUAGCCAGCUAGAUCCAAGAAACUCCUAAUGUCUGAUGGAGAGAUAGGUCUAGGCUAUUUCUUAUAGCUUCAGUCUUUUGGGAAUCAACUCUAAUGCCAUCGACAGAAAUAAUAUGAUUGAGAAAGGCUAUUGACCUUAGCUAAAAUUCAUACUUACUGAACUUAGUAAACAAUUGAUGAUCUCUAAGAGUUUGCAAGAUAAUUGUAAGAUGGUCUGCAUGGCCAUCCUCACUAUGGGAGUAUAUGAGGAUAUCAUCUAUGAACACUAUGACAAACAUAUCUAGAUAUUGCUUGAACACUCAAUUCAUGAGGUCCAUAAAAGCUACUGGAGCAUUGCUUAGCCCAACUAACAUGUCUAGAAAAUCAAAAUGACCAUAACGGGUUCUGAAAGUUGCUUCAGAAUAUCAUAUUCCCUUACUUUAAGCUGAUGAUAGCCGGAUCUAAGGUCUAUCUUUGAAAAAUAACUUGCACCUUGCAAUUGAUCAAAUAGGUCAUUAAUUCUAGGAAAAAGGUAUUUGUUCUUAACUGUGACCUUAUUUAGCUGAUGAUAGUCAAUGCACAUACGCAAAGAACCAUCUUUCUUUCGCACGAAUAGGACAGAAGUGCCCCAUGGAGAAACUAGGCCUUAUGAAACCCUUAUAUAAAAGAUCUUUGAGUUACUUCUUCAACUCCUUAAGCUCGGUGAGAGCCAUAUGAUAUAGAGGAAAAGAAAUAGGCUGAGUAUCUGGGAGAAGAUCAAUACCAAAUUCUAUCUCUCAAUCGGGAGGUACCCCUGGAAGAUCUUUUGGAAAGAUAUCUGGAAACUCAUUUACUACAUUGACUAACUAAACUAUUUGGGUCUCAGACUUAGUGUCUUUAACUCAAACAAGAUGACAAAUACAUCCUUUGGAGAUCAACUUUCUGGCUUUCAGAUAAGAUAUGAAAUGGCUUUGGGGGGACACUGAACUACCUGACCACUCAAAGACUGGCUCAUCUGGGAACUAAAACUUCACCACAUAGGUGCAACAAUAUGUAGAAACAUAAUAGAAAUGGAGCCAAUCCAUCACAAGAAUAAGAUCAAAAUCGACCAUGUUUAAUUUUAUCAGGUCUGCUAACAUGACUUUAUGAAGAAGAGUGAUAGGACACUUCUUAUAUAUUUGCUUGGCAACAACUAACUCACCUACUAGGGUAGAAACCAAGAAAAGCAUAGGAAUUUUUUUAGAGUUUAUCUUAAAAUUCAUAGCAACUAAUGGGGUCACAUAAGAGAAACUCGACCCUGGGCCUAGCAACACAUACACAUCAAAAUAAAAGACACAAAGCAUACCUGUAACAACAUCUGGGGAAUCCUCCUACUCCUGAUGGUAUGGUAAAGCAUAGAAUCUAUUCUGGUACUGACCGCCAAUAGUACUGAUGAUGCACCCCAAGAAGGAGCUGGGCGACCUAGAGGAGAUGGUGCACUGUUAGCUUGAGUCUGAGGAUGAAAAUCCUUAUUUCCUUGUCUAGCAUGCGAGCACUAUUUGAUCCCAUGGCCUGGCCGGCCAAACCCAUAACAACCUCUCUGUCCUACUAAACACUCACCAAUAUGAUUCUUUCCACACCUAGCACACUGAGGAUAACUGGUCCUACCACUCAUACUAUGCUGAGAUCAAGACAUGGAAGACUUACCCCACUUUUCUUACCUGUUUCUAGGUGCAGGAGCACUAGUUAAAGAAGGUACAUGUAACGCCCUGAGAUCCCAUCCUGAGAUGUCACAUGGUGCUUGUGACCCCAAAGGACCACAAGCUAACUCUUUUCUGAUAUCUAUACCUGUACACUGCAUAGUAUCUAGAAUAAAUGCAUAAACUGGCCAUAAGGUUCAACACAUCUAUAAAUACACAAAAUAUAAAACUAAAUACUAUACAAUACAUCUAUCUAAAAAACCUCUAAUCUGACUAAACUGUGGAGUUGAUGGGACAGGUCCCCAACUAACUCCGUCAACUAAAAGUAAAUAAGAUUUUGAUUACAAUAAUAAAAAACUGAAACUCAUCCUCAAAAAAAGAGGACUCACUGCUACUGCUGCUAACUGGGACUGAUCUACUGAUGAUACUCUGGGUCCUGUACCUCUAAACCUAUGGUGUCAAAUAAGAAACCAUAGCGCAAAUACGUCAACAUAAAAUAUACCGAGUAUGUAGAUGGGGUAAGGCUAAAUGCAAGGGCUCAUGUAUGCAAAAUAUGUAUAACCUAAAUGAUCAUGAGAAUACAACAUAAAAACAAGCACACAUACAAGAAUAUAUAAAUCAUACUCAUAAUCAUCACAACUCUAGAGACUUGACCUUUGAUACUGCUUUACUACGAGCUAAACUCACUACUAUCACUAAGAUACUGAACCACUGACUCAUCUUCUACUAAUAACUGAGGAUCUGAGUAUACUUAUAUCAUAUCAACCCCUAGCUCGGAAAUUUCUAGCAUGAUAAAGGCAAACAAUGCUCUAUAAGGCCUAAAAUAAUUAUUUGAACCCUUGCACGGGCAUCAUAUCUAGAAUACAGGCAAUUAAAUGCACAGAUAAGGUCAAUGAUAUCAAAUAAGCCCCCACAUAUCAACAUACAAUACCAGAUAUCACAAUUCAAUAAUAACAUUAUCAAAGACCCCACUUGAGCACAUAAUAGUGAUAAUAAUCUCUAAUCUAAACCCUGCAGUUAUUUUACUAAGCCCAUAGCAUGCUUUACACAUUCAUUAACUACCUAGAUCAAUCUAAAUCAUAACCUACUCAAAACAAUGAAAUUCAAGCCUAAUGUGCUUCAACAUGGAGUGUUCCCCCGUUGAACGACCAUAAAAUCAACUAUAACAUUAAAAAAUAGCAUCUAUAUGUUUAAAAAAGCUAAUGACACCCAUAAUGCCCAUAUUUGAGUCGAGUUCUAAACAAGGUCAAAAAAUGAGGUAAAAUAAAAUGGGUAAAAUAUAAAUUUUACUUUACAAAUACAUUUUCCAAGAUUAUAGAAGACUACAGUUGAAAACCUGCGUGAAAAUGGGUUUAAAAUGAGGUCCAAAAUAAGCAAAAUUAUUUUUAAGCUUUAUUGGUUAAACCUCAAAAUUCCAUUUUAAAAUUAUGAUUAAAAGAUAUUUUCAAAGAUGUAAUCAAUGGGAAUUUUAAAAUAUGAUUUAGGAGUUUAACAACGUAAGAAAUGUGAGAGAACCCUGAGAAAUUGCCCUUUCUUGAAGUUUAGAGCUCCAACAUAGUAAAAAUCACUAAAAUAGUGUUUAUUUACUAUUUUGUGAAUAGUAUCAUGUGAAUGCAGUCUAUCCUUCUCAUUCAUAAGGGUCAAAUAUGACCAGCCAAAAGUUUGGCCUUUGCAUUCACAACAUCCUCGUUACAUUCAUGAAGAAGAGAAGAUACCCAUCCCGAACUCAGUUGUCCUUCAUAAUUGUAGCCGCCAUCUUGCGAUCACGAUGAAAGAAAAAUUUCUUAUAUGUAUUUGUAGUCUGGGUCCCGUAUUCGUGAAGAAGGAUCUGGCAUGUACCUACUAUCAGCAACUUUGUUAAUUUUGCAUGUCUUCAAAUUCUCCAAACAGACCCUUAUAAUUCAUUUGGGACCGCACAAAAAUAAACCAUAUAUGCAUGCUACCAGGCUCUUUUCGAUGUUUUGGACUCUAUGGAAAUGUCAAAUUUUUAAAAUAGAUUUUUUUAAAAUAAAUUAACCCUUGGGACCCCUCUGGGCAAUUUUUCAAAUAAAGAAUGGAAACACAAUACAAAGGUUCCAAACCUAAACCAAGCAUGCUAAUAACUCAAAUUUAACAUUCCUGACCUAAUGGAACUUUCCAAAUCGCCAUCCGACACUCAAAACGUCAAAUGUAGACCAAAGUCAACUAUAUGGCUUUUUCAGCCUCUAAAAACCACAAAUUUAUCCAAAUCAUUCUCAAUCACAUAAAAAAAUCAUGCCAACGAUCUCCACACCACAAAAUAUACAUAUAGAAGCCAUGGGAAAGGAUAAAAUGGUCAAAAUACAUUAAAAGCAAAAUUUCACAGCUCAGGUCAUUACAUCAUCCACCACUAAGACUCUAGUUCGUUCUCAAAACAAGGCAAACAAAUACCAAAAUCGAUAAAAAAUUAAGGAUAAAUACUAUACAUGUCUGACUCGACCUCCCAAGUAGCCUCCCCAACAAGAUGGCGUAUCCAGUGAACGUUAACUACUUGAACAUAUCUAUAAUGCAACCGCCUAACAUCACUGGUUUAAAUGAACUUCAGCUCAUCUACAAAGACCAACCACUCAUCCAACUAAACUGAGUUCCAAUGAAGCACGUGAGCCUCAUCUAGGAUAUAGCUCCACAGAAUAGAUACAUAAAAAACUGGACGAACAACAAAAAUAUAGAUGAACAGCUGAAAAGCUUGGAUGUAAGGCCAACUCAUAAGCAACCUCUUCUACCAUCCAAAGAAUCUGAAAAGGCUCAAUAUAAUUGGAGCUAUGAUUUUCCCUAUUUUUGAACCUUAUUACGUCCUUCAUGGGUGACACAUGAAGAAAGACUCGAUCACCAAUCCUAAAUUGUAAGGCACACAGUCUAGAGUCUGCAAGACUCUUUUGCCUACUCUUUGGAUGCCCAAAGCAUAUCCUGAAUCAUUUAAACUCUAUCCAAAGACUUGUUAAGCAAAUUGGUACCACGAAGAUAACCUUUAAAGUCUCAAACUAACCAAUAGGAGAUCGACAACGCCUACCAUACAACACCUCAAAAGAUGCAAUCUAAACACUCAAAUGGUAGGAAUUAUUAUAAGCAAACUCUUCUAAGGCCAAAUGUUUCUCCCACUAACCUCUAAAGUCCAUAACACAUAUGUGAAAAAUAUCCUUCAAAACCUGAAUAGUCUGCUCAACGACCGAUCAUUCUAGGGGUGAAAAGUUAUGUUAAGAUCAACUUGAGUACCCAACUCCUUCUGAAGAUGUCAAAAACUAAAAGUGAAUCCUGAUUCUUUAUUUGAAAUAAUGGACAUAGGUACCCAAUAAAGAUGAACAAUAAACAAAGAUACGAGCCAAUCUAUUAGUAUUAAAGAAAAUUUGAAUAGGCACCAAAUAAGCUGACUUGGUCAACCAAUCAAAGACAACCCAAAUGCAGUCAAAAUUGUGAGAAGAAUGAGGAAACUCACUCAUAAAGUCUAUACUAAUCCACUUCAUCUUCCAUUUAGGAAUGGGUAAUCUUUGAAGUAAACCGCUUAAUCUUUAGUGCUCGGCCUUCACCUGCUGACAACAUAAGAAACUAGCUACAAAAUCCAUUGCAACUUUAUUUAUGCCACUACACCAAUAAAGUUGCUUUAGAUGGAUGGAAUACUUAGAAUAAUAUGACUCCUUCAAAAUUAAUCUCACCAUCCACCAACUUUCAAUACAUAAGCUCGACCUCUAAUUCUUAAAACACCAUUCGAAUCAAAAAAUACCGCCUUAGCUUUACCACUCAAAACCUUAUCUUGAAUUACCCUUACAUUAUCAUCAUCAUACUAGUGAGCUCAAAUAUGCUCCAUCAAAGAAGAUCUAGCAUCAAUAAAGGCUAAAACAUGCAUGUGAAUUGAAUAUCAAGCCUAACCAUCUGGUUAGCUAAAUAUUUAACAUUCAAUGCUAAAGGCCACUCCUAGGGCAAGAUAUGAGCUAAAAUCCCCAUACUAGUCAAUUUCUGACUUAAGGCAUCCACAACUACAUUAGCCUUGUUCGGAUGAUAAGGAAUAAAGAUGUCAUAAUCCUUAAGAAACUCAAGGCAACGCUGCUACCUCAUAUUAAGAUUCACUAAUUAAAGAAGUAUUGAAGCUAUGAUGGUCUGAGAAAACCUUAUAAUUAACAUCAUACAAGUAUUGAUGCCGCAACUUCAACACAAACACCAUGGCUUCUAACUACAAAUCAUGGGUCGAGUAAUUUUUCUCAUGAGGAUUCGACUAAGGAAAAGUGUAGGCGAACCCCUUACCCUUCUAUAUCAAUACUGCACCUAAACCAACACCAUAAGCAUUAUGAAAUAUGAUUAAACCCAUGCCUUCUUUGGCAAAGUCAAAAUAGGAUCCAAAGUCAACAACUUUUUAAGCCUUUAAAAGCUCUUCUUAUAUGCAUUUAACUACUGAAAUAUCUCCUUUUUCUUAGUGAAAUUGGUCAAAGAAGCUGCAAUAUAUAAGAAACCCUUCAUACAACACUGAUAAUAAUCGAACAAACCUAUGAAACCCUAAAUUUUAGUAGGAAAAGUGGGUCUAUACCAAUCAUGAAUUGUUAAUAUCUUGAUGGAUCAACCAUAAUACCAUCCUUGGUCACCAUAUGGCCUAAUAAAGAGAUAAUCCAACCAAAACUCAUACUUGGAAAACUUGGCAUAUAACUUCUCAUCAUGCAACCUCUGAAGUACAAUCCUAAAAUAUUUCACGUGGUCAGUCUCAUUCUAGGAAUAAACCAAGAUGUCAUCUAUAAAUACAAUCAUAAUGGAGUCAACAUACGAUUAAAAUACUUAAUUAUCAACUACACAAAUGUUGUAGAGGCAUUGGUCAACCUAAAAGACAUGACCAAGAACUCAUAAUGACCAUAUUGAGUUCAAAAGGUCAUCUUAAGAACAUCCAAAGCUCUAAUUUUCAACUGGUGUGUAAUACCCCAUAUUUUUAAGAUCUAGAUGCAUCAAAGAUAGGCCAUUAAUUUAGCUUGGAAAUGCCACAAAUCUCAUUUUAAUCUGAUACUAUGUCAAAAAUAUAUGGAAAUUUUCCUGAGGGUCUAUCAACUGUGGGGAAAACAACUCUAGCAAAGAUCUAAUAUUAGUCAUAACGAGUCGUUGUGUGGAAUUAUUGACACAACUAUGAAGGAUCCUAAAUUUCAAUUGAAUAGAGAUGAGUCCAGCAUAUGACUCAUUACCAGUCCUAACAAAUUGUUAGGUGGACCCAUCGUCACAAUAGAAAGAAAUCUAGAAAUCAAGUCUCUCACCACGACUUUUUCUAAUAACCCACGACCAUACCUAAUGAGUCGUUAGGAGGGGAGUCAUUUUCAUAACAAAAGGGACUAAGAACUUAGGACCUUAGUUCAUGACUCAGACCAUGACUCCUAACUAGUCGUAAUGGGUCAUUACCCAAGUGGUGACGACGGCUUACUUGAAAAUCCUGAACAAAUUAAAAGGGGAUUUUAAGUCUUUUCCCAUCCUCUUAACCCUAAACUCACAUUGUUUAGGCUUUCCCAAGAGUGUUAUAUAAGCCUAAACUUCCCCAACAUCACCAUUUAGUUGUAAAAUCAAUCCACAAUAGGAAAAGAAAUGAUUCUCUCAUCUCUAAAAUCAUAUUAGAUUUUCUCAAGAAUAAGAUUAAAUUCCAAGGAUUUCUCCAACGCUUCCACUUCAGGUAUAUAAGAUUUCAUUAAUGGGUUUCCUCCAUCCAUUGAGUCCCCAUAACUUCUCAAUCUUCAAUUGUUUUCCCCUCAAGUCUAGGUUCUAGGUUAAAUAUAAGUUUUUCUUACAUUCUAUAAUUUAUUAUUGUAGAAAAACAAUGAGCACAUAUUUCACAUAAAUGGAGCAUUUUCCCAUGUUUUGAAGACCAUAAAUCCCUGAGUAUGACAAGAUGUUGAGUUCUUGGGCUUGAAUUGUGAUUUUCUUAAAAAUGUCCACUAAUUUAUUAUAUUUAGAGAUGGUGGGUUAUGAACAUUAGAUAUUUAGGAAUUCAAACAUACCUUAAUUUAUAUGUUCUUGAGUAUUUCAGGUUACGCAUCCAUUAUUAUUUUUAAAAUGAUAUCACAAUGAAAAAUUCAGUUUAUGCUUCAGUGUCAAUCAGUUAGGAGUCAUACAUUGCAUCAAGUGAAUGCACAGAUGAUGGCUCCUUUUUUAGUUAGGUAGAGACCAUAAGUAGCAAUCCUUCAGUUCCAAAACUAUGGUACUACCAUAGGUUACAAGGGGUCACCCACCAGUUGAGGCAUGACACCCUAGUCUUUCAGGACAUCAAUUUAGAAAAUCCACAUCAACCAGUGUUGGUACCCUUAGCAAGUUACUAACACCCCUUCUAGUUAGGAUUAUAGGUUAGACCCUAAUUUUUCUUAUGUUGGGCUAUGCCAGUUAUUGUUAGCUCCCACCGCCCUUUGUUUAUAUUCAGUUCAGGUUUGUUUGACCAAGUAUUUAGAUAUUUAGCAUUUAGUUUCAUCCAGCAUAUGUUUAUGCCUGGUUUUGCAUUUAGUUUACAUAUUCAUGCAUUCAUGUUUAGUAUAUGUUAGCUAGUUUCCCAUCUUACAUGCUCAGUAUAUUCAAAGUACUGAUCACAUACUUUUUUAUAUUAUAUUAUCUCAUAAUAUAAGUUCGUACACUCAGUACCCGGACCAUACUUAGCAUUUGUACACUCAGUACCCGGACCAUACUUAGCACGUUCAAGUACCACGUUCAACAACAACCUUUGAUGAGACCUCAUUAUUCGAGGACUAAUUAUCUAUCAUUUAAUUCUUAUUAGUUUAUUUUAGCUUUAGUUAAUUCAAGUUAGUUAGGGGCUUUUCCAAAUAACCCAUUAUGAGCAGAGGAUUUUAGAUAGAUAUUUAGAUUAUUAGUAUAUUUGGUUGUCAGACAGUUUUAUUUCCAAUUUUGAUUAAUAUUCAGUUUUAUAUUAGUACUUUUAUCAGUUAUGUUAGUUAGCGUCCAUCUGGUUUAUGGAUAUUUCCUUAGUAGUCUAAUGUAUGCCAAACCAUAGGUUAGAUUGGGGUCAUUUUUGGCUCUAAGCACCAUGUUACAAAUAGGAGAUAGUCUUGAGUCAUGAAAAAUUUGGCAUUAGAGUAGCUGUUUAGAGUGUCCCAGGGUGCCUAAAGGCCAUAUUAUGUAGAUUCUUAUUCAUGGAUGUGAAGUGCACCACACUUGUGAGCGAGAAGCUAAGAAAUAUUUUACGGAGGACUCACUUCGUUCAUGAUUCAUGUUGUGCGAUAGAGUGUGAACUCAAUUAAAAUUUCUCUUCUAACAUGUCCUCUAUCUAUUUACAAAUAAUGCCUCCUAAUAAAACUAAUGGAAGGAGAAAUGGGAACCAACAAACACCACCACCAGAUCCUAAAGACCCUCUGAAUUAGUAGGUCUCUCAUGUUGAGUUUAGGGUUUCUUUCAUAGAUCUAACCUAAUCUAUGACUGCUUAGAAUAACCAUUAGGAUAUUUCCCUAGCCAAUCUAAUAGCGAAUAUGGAGACAGCUAGAAUCCAGGACUUUAUUCAAAUGAAUCUGCCAGUAUUUUUGGGUAUAAUUUGGAGGAGGAUCCACAAGAAUUCUUGGACAAUGUUCAAAAGGUGAAUGAUAUCAUUGGGUUACUUAUACUUAGAGAGAUAACCUGGCUACUUACAAACUACAAGGGGCAGCUCAUACUUAGUUCAAGCAGUGGAAGGGAGAUAAAGGUGUAGAUUUAGGGAUAGUAGAGUGGAAUUAGCUUGCUGGUGCUUUUAUGUAUAGGUUCUUCGACUUAGGGUAAUAUACUACGGUGCAUGAGUUUAUCAACUUAAAGAAGGGCAGUAUGAUUGUUAAAGAGUAUUCACUCAAGUUUACUCAGUUUGCGAGGUAUGCUCUGACUGAUUUUAGGGCCUGAAUGAGUAAUUUUAUGUCUAGUAUUUUUGAGGAUGUGGUUGAGGAGUGUAGAACAACCAUGUUGAUUAAGGAGGUUUGCAUCUCCACGUUGAUGGUCCACGCUAAAUAGAUUGAGAAGGAAAAUCUCAAAGAGAAUAAAAGCGAGAAUAAGAACUAGUAGCUUUAAUUCUCUCAGUCGAGGUCAGAUGGUGGGAAUCAUUCUUAGUUUCUCCAUAAAUUUUCAUUACCAGUCCUAUUUUUUGCUAGUGUUUCAAUGCCUAAUGUUCAGAUAAGAUACUCGUGAUAGGGUAUCGGGCUCUAAGUCCCUGGGUAACAUGAAUUAUGGUCUCACAAACCCAAUUUGUAAGAGAUAAUGUAAGAAAUGUAAGGGUGAGUGCAUGGACAGUAGUGAUACCUAUUUUGAGUGUGAUAAAUUAGUCCAUAGAGUAAGGUAUUGCCAAAUAGUUAUAUAGAGAGGUAGGAAUAAUCAUUAUCAGGAUCAGACUACUCUUUAACAGUUCUAGCAGGUUGCUCAACUCAAUAAGGUGCCACUUCUAGUGCAUCUAGUAGAUUAUUUCAGAAUAGUAUUUAUUCCCUUUGAACUCGAUAGGAUCAGGAGGUUUCUCCUAAUUUGGUUAUUGGUAUGUUACAAGUCUUUCACCUUUAAGUGUAUGCAUUAGUAUAUCCCAAAGCUAUACUAUCCUUCGUAACUCCCUAUAUAGCAGUAUAUUUUUAUGUAUGCUUUAAAUCCUUGUAGAGAGCUUCUCAAUUUCUACUCUAGUUGAUGGUUCCAACAUAGCUAGACGGGUAUAUAGAAAUUUCCCAAUUAUAGUAUCCUAGAAAGUCACCUUAGUUGAUCUUGUAGAAUUAGAGAUGACCAAUUUUGAUGUUAUUCUUGGCAUGGAUUAGCUCCACUCAUGCUAUGACUCAGUUGACUAUAGAACUUGAGUAGUAGUUUACUUUUAGAUUCUUAAUAAGCUACUCUUAGAAUUGAGGGUAGUACCUUAGUGCCUAUAGAUCGAUUUGCCUCUAUCUAUAAGGCAAGUAAAAUGAUUUCCAAAGGGUGCAUCUAUUAUCUUGUCCAAGUCAAAGACUCAAGUUUUGAAAUCCUCAGUCUUGAUUAAUUCCUAGCAGUGAAUUCAUUUCCAAAUGUAUUUUCUGAAGAUCUUCCCAGAGUUCCUCUCGAGAGAAAAAUUGACUUCAAAUAGCUCUCCUUCCAUUUACCCAGCCUAUAUUUAUUUUGCCUUACAGAAUGGCUCCAGAUGAGCUUAAGGAAUUGAAAGAGUAAUUAAAAAAUCUCUAAGACAAGGGUUUUAUUAGGUCGAGUGUCUCUCCAUAGGGUGAACCAGUUCUAUUCAUGUUCAAGAAAGAUGGUUCUCUCAAAAUAUGCAUUAACUAUCGUUAGUUGAACAAAGUCACAAUUAAGAAUACAUAUACCAUUCCUAGGAUUGAUGACUUAUUUGACCAACUUUAGGGUACCAACUAUUUCUCUAUGAUGGAUCUCAUAUCUAGCUAUCAUCAGCUCAGAGUUAGACAAUGUGACAUCCCAAAGAUAGCUUUCAGGACUCUGUAUAGUCACUUCAAAUUUGUAUCUAUGUCUUAUAUACUAAUGAAUGCUCCUGCAGCUUUUAUGGACUUGAUGAACAGGGUGUUUUAGCAGUACUUGGACAUGUUCAUUAUAGUCUUUAUAGAUGAUGUCCUCAUUUAUUCUUGGAGUAAGGGUGAACAUGUAGAUCACUUGAGGAUUGCCUUGCAGACUCUUAAAGAUUACUAGUUAUUUGCUAAGUUUAGCAAAUGUGGAUAUUGGUUGAAAUUAGUAGCAUUACUUGGUCAUAUCAUUUUUGAUAAAUUAAUUUAAGUUAAUUCUAAAAAGACAGAACUAGAGAGGAACUGGCCUAGGCCUAUAUCUCUAUCUAAUAUUAGAAGUUUUAUGGGUUUAGCCAGUCACGACGGGUAGUUCCAUUAAGGAUUUCCCUCUAUUGUUUCUCCUAUAUCUAGACUAACACAGAAGAAACUCAAAUUCUAGUGUUCAAAUUCAUGCAAAAAAAGUUUUUAGAAGCUGAGACUCAACUUACCUCCACCCCUAUUUUGACUCUACUAGAGGAUUCAAAAGGUUUCAUAGUAUAUUGUGAUGCUUUGAGAGUUGGUAUUGGUUGUCUAUAAAUGCAGCGAGGCAAGGUUAUAGCAUAUGCCUCUAAAAAGCUCAAACCUCAUGAGAAAAACUACCUGACUCUUGAUCUUGAGUUCGUAGGGGUUGUUUUUCCCUUAAUGAUUUGGAGGCCUUAUCUCUAUGGGUUUAUGUUGAUACGUUCACUAAUCACAGAUUCAUUAGUAUAUUUUUAGUCAGAAAGAUCUAAUUCUUCCUCAGAGAAGGUGGCUAGAGUUAUUAAAGGAUUAUGAUGUGAGUGUCUUGUAUUACCCAGGUAAGGCUAAUGUCAUGGUGGAUACCCUUAGCAGAUUAUAUAUGGGAAGUGUUUCUCAUAUUUAUGAAGCUAAGAAAGAGUUAUUUUAUGAGGUUCAUCAACUAUCUGGGUUAGGAGUUUAGAUGUUUGAUUCAGUCAAAGGUAGUGUCUAGGUUUAGAAUGGUUCAGAAUCUUUUUUAUUGCUGAGGUGAAAGAAAAGCAAGAUAUAGAUCCUAUCUUGUUUAAGUUGAAAGAGGCAAUUCAGAAUUUAAAGUUAGAGGUUUUAUCCCAAUGCGGAAAUGGUGUUCCUCAUUGUUACGGUAUACUAUGUCCUUCAGAUGUGGAUGAUUUGAUGUAGUGAAUGUUAGCAGAAGCUCAUGAUUCGUAAUAUUUUAUUCACCUAGAAGACACCAGGAUGUACCAUGAUUUGCAGAAACUCACUUGGUGGAAUGGAUGAAGAAGGAUAUUGAAAAAUUUAUGGCUAAGUGUCAAAAUUGCUAGCAUGUUAAGGUUGAGCACCAGAGACCUAGUAGUAUGCUUCAGGAGUUUAGUAUUCCUACUUGGAAGUGGGAAGUGAUGAAUAAGGACUUCAUCACAGGUUUGUGUCAUACUCGUCAUUAGUAUGAUUCUAUUUGGGUUAUUAUGGACUGAAUGACUAAGUCAACUCAUUUAUUGCCAGUAAAUACUUUAUAUUUAGCCAAAGAUUAUGCUAGACUCUAUCUUAGGGAGUUGGUAAUAUUGCGUGGGGUCCCUUUGUCCAUUAUUUAGAAAGAGGCACCAAGUUUACCUCUCGAUUAUAGAAGGCUUCUCAAAAGGGUCUUGGUACCCAAGUUUAUCUUAGUAUAUCUUUUCAGUAGCAGAUAGAUGGUUAGGCAGAGAGGACCAUUCUGACCUUAGAGGAUAUGUUGAGGGACUAUGUAAUGGAUUUCAAGGGUAGUUGGGAUGAUCACUUUCCUUUGGUCGAGUUUUCUUAUAAUAACAGUUAUUGUUCUAGUAUUUAGAAGGCCCUGUUUGAGGCUCUGUAUAGUAGGAGGUGUAGAUCUCCUAUUAGUUGUUUGAGGUUGGUGAGGCUACUUUGAAAGGGCCAGAUUUAAUGCAUGAGGUAAUGAAAAAAGUUUAGUUCAUAAGAGAAAGGCUAAAAACGGCCCAAAAUCAUGAUAUGGGUGUGGGAACUAAUCAUGAAAAUGUAUCUAUUAUUGUUUUAUUCUUGUGUGAGGGCAUGUGUUGUUGUUAUUUUGUGGUUUUAAGACAUUAUUUGCUACAUGUGACCGUGUGGGAUCUUAUGUAACUUUACUGUCCUAGUAUUUAUGUAAUUGGUUGUAUUCCUUUUGGUGGAAAAAUGUCUAAGUUAGUAUUUAUGUGCUAUCAAAUAGCAUAUUAUUGUAUAUCUUGCUUUAUUGGUUUAUGAACAAUAGUGGAGCAUGGAUGGUUGGCGUAUUUAGUGGAUUUGUGGCUCGUAUGAUUGGUAUAUUGCUUGGACUUGGAAAUUCUCAUUCUGGUUGGUUGUGAACAUUACAUCCUCAUAUCAUACAUACUCAUGAAAUAUUGGUACCACCUUAGAAAUACUAGCUUCUUCUUACAAAAAAUGUAAAAUCUUUAAAAAUCCUCUCUCGGCGUAUGUGCCGGAGAGAAUAUAUAGCUAUUGGAGUAGUAUUGGAUAUUGGAUUGUAUAUGAGUUGAUGAACCCCCCAUGUGUCCUAUCUCAGGAGAACAUCUCGCUAGGUGUAUACGGAGGUUAUGUAAUAACCUCACACAUCAUAUCAUCAUUAUUAUCUUCAUUGAAUUUUACAUUUUGUGGAUAUUUUAUGUUGUAUUUUAAUUCUUAAUGUGAUAUGUAUCUAUUUUUCCUUUUUUUUUGUUCUUCUAUAUGGUAUAUGUGUAUAUUGUACAAUUAUUAGUAGAGACGACGUGGGCUGUUUGGGACAUGUUUUGAUUGCAGGCGACGUUCCCAUAGUAUGUAUUCAAAACAAUUUAUUUUCUACUUUGCUCAGUAGGCCUAUGAUACAUACUAAGUAGAAGUGGAUCGUGCUCACCUUUACUGUACACUUUCGAUGCAGAUCCAAGUACUAGUGCACAACAUGGUAGCUGAUACAGGUGGUGUUUGGAGCACUUUUGAGGUAGUAAUUGAUCUAUGCUUCCAGAGAUUAUUUACUGCCUCUUCUUGUUUAGUUUAUUUCUUUUCAUAUUCAGAGAUUAUGUUCUUUUUGGGAUAUCAAUUGUACAUUUUGACUUCAAGAUAUAUAUAGUUUGUUCUUACACUAGGACACUAGAUUUUAGGCGAUUUAUGGUAUCUUUGUUAUGUACUAUUUUGCUAUUAUUGUAUAUGUAUAGUUUAGCUUCGUUCUAAAAGCCUUACUUUGGGUUUUGGUGUUGUUUUCCUUUUUCAUAUCAGUUUGGGUGAUAGGCUUACUUCUCAAGCCUUGCCAUGACAAGUAUCAUCACAACCCUUGGUUUUUGGGUCGUGACAAAGUGAUAUCAGAGCCAGUUUCAUUAGUCUCAUGUAUAUUAGAAUAGGGUGUCUAGCAAAGUAUUAUAUAUUGGAAUGUAGACAUCUAUAUCAAUUAUCAAGAGGUUACAAGAUAUCAUUAGGAAACUUAUCUUAUUUUAUCCCUUACUAUUAGGGCUUUUCCAUACCCUAUGUUUUAAAUUGAGUUUUACUUUUUUUUUGCAUAGAUGGUGAGGAGUAGAUCUUGUGAGGUUAGAGAUUUUUAGCUAUCAUUCGAGGAGAGAACUCAGUCUAGGGUGAGUUGCGAUUCGUGUUGAGCCCGAGGUAGUGGAUGGGAAUGAGGAUCUACCCCUUCUAGAGGUAGUACUUCGGGGCUCUUCCCUGAGACUCAGGGUUGAGCAUUCUAGACGACAUGGGUCUUACUUUUGUCCCACAGUGUUCUUCUUUCCCGGUCUUAGAAGAAUUAUUGAUUCACUUGCUGACUUGUUUCUAGGGUGUACCUUAGAGCGCACCUAGAGUUCCUCUAUCUUUGAGUAUUGUACCUCCAUAUAUUAUAGAGUCUACUUAUGGUGUUCCUCCAGUUUAGAGUGUGGAUCCUCUAGUGGUAUUGAUAUCUUCUUAUGGUACUCCACUGAAUAUGAGUAUUGUUCCUUCUUCUAUGUCUAUAUCUGAGAAUGGUAUUUUGAUAUCAAGAGUUCAUCCAUCAUCUAUGCUACCCCCUCAGGUGUUAUAUCAGCCAUCAAGAUUCACUAUGUCUCUUAUUAUUGUGAGUACAAUUAUUUCUUCUUAGGAUCAAAAGAGGAUUGAGAAAUUCACCCAUUUGGGUCCUUAUGGGUGAGGUUGCUGAUGAGUACUUGAUUUAUUGUUGUGAGAAGUUGCAUAACCUUGGUUCACUUGAGUUCCAUGGGAUUUCUUACACAACUUACUAGUUGAGAGAUGCAGAUAGGGAUUGGUGGAGGCCACUUGUUAGUUGCAGAUCUCUUACCUCACCUGUAACACCCCGAGUUUUUGGUCCUAGAGAAUUUCUAAAAUUUUAUCCUCAAUGUCCUGACUACGACUCACCUGAUGAGACACAAUGUGGCUUUACUAGUCAUAAGACCCAGUCAUAAUAAGCCCAGAAAAAUUUUUCUAAGUUGCUUCCAUGAUAAAGACUAUACUUAAUGAGUCAUAUAGACUUCUAACAAGUCAUAAGGAGGGUAUUUUGUAGUGUGCACAGCGUAGUUCCCCUAUUAAAACUGUUGAGACAAUGACCUGAACCAACAAGUUAUGUGUCUCAUUAUGAGACAUAGGGCGCCAGUCAUAAGGUCCACAGUGAAGAGGCCAAGGUGGUUUUGGUUUGGCUACGACUGAAUGGUCCAAGUCGUAGGGUAAACCUAAGAGUCGUAAGUCACCUAUAGCGAUCGACGAGUUAUUUUAAAACUUUUAAUGAGGGUACUUUAGACAUUUCCCUUUAAUCCUACUGUAAACCAAAUGAGAAGUGAUUUUUCCACUCAUUCUCACUAAAUAUUUUUACACAUUACCUUGUUUUGAAUAAAUGAUUGAGACAUAUUGGUGAUAAAAUGCACUAAUAUCCACUCUUUGCAGGCAUAGAGUUGAGGAUAUCAAAAGAUGUGGAUUAGAGCUGAAAAUGAUAAAAAGGGAGCAAAGAAGAGUGCAGCUGAAGACCUGGACUACAUCAACCUCAAUUAGAGCAACAGUGGUCCUCUAUCCACGAUUGCAGUCAAUCAAGAUUUUCAACACAACACAGUCGCAGCACACAACCGUGGUCGCGAAUAGUCUUGCGUGAUCACGGGUUCAGUGGGAAUAUAGCCAUGGGCAGAUCUAUAAAAGUACUUAGACAAAUCUCAAACCAUAUUUAAGUAUAAAAACCUUUCUUCUUUGGGUAUUUCUUACCUCAUAUCUAUUUUUUUAUUUGAAAGAAGGAAAUCCUCAUUGGGAAAGUGUGAAACUACUCUUGGAGGCUUAAUUUCUUAGUGAUUUUUUGAAGAAUGAAUGUUUUGGCUAAUUCUCAUGUUAUAUUUCUCUUUACUUUCUUCAUGAGUGGCUAUGUAAUUUAGUCUUGGAUUAUUUUGAACUAAAGAGUAAUUGUGUGGGGGUGUUGUUGUGUUUGCAUGUUUGUUAGUUGUUGAAUAUGGAUUCCACCAUUGCUUCAGCUUAUUAGUUGGAAUUUGAUGGGUGAAAACCCUAAAUCUCCAAAUGGGUUUGAUGGGUGAGAACCUUAAACUCUAGAAACCCUUUUUCAUCCUUGAAAGAGGGACUAAGGUGAACUUGAGGUAACCCAUAACAUCCUAGAAAGAGGUUUAUAGGGGGACAAUGUAAUGGUGGACAAUUAAGUCCAUGGUUUACUACCUUUUGCAAUCUUAUAAAUAAGUGUGAUUGGAGGUAAGCCACGUCAAGAGCAUCAUCCUAGAAAUAGGGAUGCUUGAUUGAGGUUUUGGGUGAUUAUGAAUUGUACACUUGUUAGGUGAUCAAAAUAGCCAAUAGGUUAAAUCAUUGUAGUUUUAUUGAAAGUUUGGCUACAAUGACUUUUGACCUAGCUAAUCCUUUGAACAACAACUAAGAUUCAUUCCAAACCAUCAUUAACCCACACACUUUACCUUUAAGUAGACAUAAUCCCAAUACCCUCUCUAUUCUUAAUCUUAAAUCAAAAGUGUUAUAUCUGCACUUUGUUAGUUGACAAACUAUAUCCAAAUCAAAAUCCCCCCCAUUUUAUUUUAAUUGUCUUAUUUAUUAUCACUCCAGGUAAACUCGUAGUAACAAGGACACCCAUAAGAUUUGAAGGCUAUAGUUCGCUCCUUGUGGAUUUGACCCUAACUCUAGUUGGGUUGUUUGACCAUGACUGCCUCACCCCUCAAUCAUGGAAGUGAGAUAAGUAUUAUCAAAAUGUCACCAUUGUUGGGGAGGGAAAUAUAGAUUUUACUGUGCGGUGUGUUUCUUACUUGGGUGUAUUCAGGGUGGUGUGUUUUAUUAUAUUUAUUGUUUUUGAACUUCUUUUAGAUAACCCUCGUGAAUAGAAUUAUGAGUGAAGGCACUAAUGAUACAGAGUCAUUUGAUAUUCUCUUUGAUGGAGAGAGCCAAACAAAGGGUGCAGACCAAAUGAGAGCAACCCGUAUCCCACCUCAUGAGAGCGGGACCCUUCACGUAACAAGCGUCCUGCUUUAUUUGUUUCAAAUUAAGGGGUUGUAUGGGGGUCAAGCAUAUAAGGAGACAUAUGUUCACUUAAAGAAUUUCUUGGAGGUAUGUGCGCCAUUCAACAUUGCAAACACCACUAAAGAAGCUUUUUGGCUCUAUCUUUUCCCGUUUUCACUAAUAAGAGAAGCCUUGUUGUGGAACCGUUCACUCCCAAGGCUUCAAUCACUUCGUGGAACGAGCUUACAAAGAUGUUUUGUGGUCAAUACUCCCUUUCCCCCAAGGUGUGCCACGUAGGAGAUGAGAUAAUCAACUUUAGACAAAGGAGUGGGGAGCCACUUCAUGAAGUAUGGGAGACGCUUAAUAGAAAAUUUCCCAAAUUCCCAAACCACAAGGUUUCAAGGAAGAUACUUCUCUAAAUCUUCUACUGGGCACUAGACCCUUGGAACUAAUCUAUUGUGCAUAAAGCGGCGGAAGGUUCUCUCUUGAACGCAAAUUCCAGUGAGAUGAUGCGAAUUCAACGUGUCACGUCGAUGUUCUAAUGCAUUGAGCAACACAUCUUGUUGAUAAUCCAUGCAGAGAAUAUAAGUUCUUCCGACAAAAGGACAGGACAGUAUCCUAUUUUUUUUUUAAUUUGCACGCAUAUCAAGAAAAAUUGGUGGGAAAUUUGAAUUCUAUUUCCAAAUUGGAUUUGUAUUUUUAUUAUAAUACAAACACAAGAAAUCUGGGGACCAUUAUUUUAAUUGUUCAUCACAAUUCUUGAAAAGGGAUUUGGAAGAUAUAUAUAUUAAAAGUAACCACUGGACACGAGGAAGAAUACGUUUGGACACUUUUGGACAUCCUUAGAAGAUAUUGGAGGCUACAAAACUUCUUUUUAGGGUUUUAUCAUUCUUUUAUUUUAGUUUCUUUCAUGGUUUGUAUCAUCAAUCCAAGGGAUUGGACCCAUUAAAGGCUAAAACUCCCUUUCCGGGGAUAAGGCCAAGAUCAUGACUACUUUUAUUUUUGAAUUAGUUUUGUUUAAAUUUCUUAUCAUUAUUGGUUGUUUGUUAAUUUUUGUUUUAACUAUUUUAAGGAUUAGCUACACGUAGAAUACAUCAAUUGUCAACCUUGUGAUAUCAUGAAAGGGAAUAGGGAGAUAGAACACGGGAAUAAGCAAAGUAUGGUUCUUAUUUCUUUAUAAAAUAAGAGAUUUGAAUUAGUAUCUAGGACAGGGAUGUACUUAGAUAUCUUACUUGAUUCACAUAUAGGAUGAUAUUUGUAAAGAACUUAAGUGAACUAUUAGAUCCCCGCUCAAUGAUGUAGUUUUAAGGUUCAACUUAGGUAAAGGAUUAGAGGUUGGGAAACCAUGAUUCUGCAAUUAACCCUAUGAAUCAAUAACCAAGAUAAGCGAUUUAACGAAUUAAGUUCAAUAACGUAGUAUGAUUGGUCUUAAGCCUUAACCCUGGGCUUCUAUCCAUUGAUUUUCCUAAGUCAUUAAUUUUUUGCAUUAGUUUAGUUUCUUUUAAAUUAUCAAUUCUUAAAUAUCCUUAUUUACUUUUCUCAAUUGUUAAACUAAAAUUGGAUAGGUGGCGAACGCAAGUCCCUAAGAGAUCAAUACUUGGGCUUUCUUGAAGCCACUUUACUACUUGAUAAGACCACAUACACUUGUGUGUGCGCUUGGGCUCUAUCAAUAUCCAUUGGUGAAUUCUGAGUAACGGUAUGGUAGGUCACCCAUACUAUGAUUUGGAAUGUGAGAUGAUAGCUUGGAUGGUUGCCAUGAUUAGUAAAUUAUAUGUGGUGCAGAUACAAAAGGAAACAACCCCGUCCAUCUAAAUAUUUUUCGAAACUCGAAGGAAUGGAUGUGAGCAACUUUGAGACAAAUUUUUCCCUCUUUUUAUAACUCCAAAAGUUGACUUCGAAAAAAUAGUGAAUACUCUAUCUUUGUCUCAAGCGAGUAGAAUAAUUGAACCCCAUGACAAUAUUUGUAUGCCAUGUGUGUGAGGUUAAUUAUCUUCAUGUCAUGUGUACUUGUACCAUCUAAAACUUGCCCCAUUAGUCUUUUAAAGCUAAAUUUUGAUUGUUCUUGGUUGGUAAAAUGAUCAUAGGCCAUCAUGUGACUUUGGAAGCCAACUUUAGCCUAAAAGCCUACUAAUACAUAGGAUUUACCACUAGUCACCCUCUUUGAGCCUUUGGACUUUUCUUUGGAAAACGCAUUACAAGCCAUGACCCUUCUAUUCAUCCCCUCUUGAAUCCCAUCCUCCUUGAACUUAAGAAUACAAAUUAAGGCUAAAAUCCUAAGUUGGGGUGGUGGAAAGAGAAAGAAGUAUAUUCAAGCCAUGAAGUCGUAAGAAGGUGCCUACAAGCUUAAACAAUUAAGCAUUUUGCUUUGAAGAAAUAGAAAAUCCAUUAAAAGAAUGAAAUGCAUAGAUUUCAAAUGCAUGCAAAAAAAGUGAAGAAAAAGAGGUGAAGAGCAUGUGAGUAAAACAAAAAGGGAAAAGUAGGUAAAUUAGUAAAGGAAAAAGAAGUGGCCCAAAUAGCAAUGCAUCAAUGGAUUAUAAUGUAGAAGUUCAAGGAGGUUUUAGCCUUAUCAUUCCAAAUUAAUGUCCUACCCUACCCGAAACCUACAUUACAAGCUCAAAAGGUCUUUUUGUGAUUCCCAACCAAAUGUGGUCAUUGUAGUAGUGAUUGAAAAUAGGGGCAAGCCUAUGUCAUGGUACUUGUUAACAUGGAGAUUUCUAGAGAGAGUGAGUGUUUGCACUUAAAAUUCCUUGUUGCGUGAUUGGUAACUAGGUGUAUCAAUUAUUUCUUUCUUGUGAGGAGUCAUGUGAACUAGUUGGGGUGGGUGAUUUUGUCAUCUUCCGCAUAAUGAGAUAAACGGAAGUAUAUCAUGAUUGUAGUCAACAUAAGAUUCAUUUCUAGAGUGUUAGCAGUUGUUACAUAGUUUCUCUCUGAAGUCUAUUACAUCCUUCACUAUUCUAUUUUAUGAUGAGGGAAGUCAUUAAAAGCCUAUUUUCCCAUGUGUGAAAAGUUUUUGGUGGUAUCAAUCAAGUUUAAGUCAUCAUAAUCAUUGGGUGAUAGAAUAAGCGCAUACAUAUGAAAUUGUCUCAUAAUAAGGGGGGGGGGUUAAUGAGGGGUGAUUUUUCCACUAAUUCUCACUAAACAUUUGUGCACAUUACCUUAUUUUAAAUAAAUAAAUGAGACAUAUUAAUGAUAAAAAUGCACUGAUAUCCACUCUUUGCAGGCAUAGAGUUUAGGAGAUCAAAAGAUGUGGAUUAGAGCUGAAAAUGACAAAAGGGGAGCAAAGAAGAGUGCAGAUGAAGACCUGGACUACAUUAACCUCAGUUUCCGCUACUGUGGUCCUCAAUCCACGAUCUCGAUCAGUCAAGAUGAUCAGCACAAUGCGGUCGUAGCAUACAAUCGCGGUCGCAUGGACACAAUCACAGACAUUCUUGUACGAUCAUAGUUCAAUAGGAAUAUGCCUAAGGGUGGAUCUAUAAAACCACUUAGAUGAAUCCCAAACCAUAUUUAACCAAAUAACACUUUCUUCUUUAGGUAUUGCUUACCUCAUAACUAUUUUUCUAAUUUGAACGAAGUAAACUCAAAUUGGGCAAGUGUGUAACUACUUUUGGAGGCUUAAUUUCUUAGUGAUUUUGUGAAGAAUAAAUGUUUUGGAUAAUUCUUAUGGUAUAUUUCUCGUUACUUCCUUCAUGAGUAUAUAUGUAAUUUAGUCUUGGGAUUAUGUUAAACUAAAGAAUAAUUGUGUGUGGACGUUGUUGUGUUUGCAUGUUUGUUAGUUGUUGAAUAUGGAUUCCAUCAUUGCUUGAGCUUAUUAUUUAGAAUUUGAUAGGUGAAAACCCUGAAUCUCCAAAUGGGUUUGAUGGGUGAAAACCCCAAACUCUAGAAACCUUUGUCAUCCUUUAAAAAGGGACUAAGGUGAACUUAAGGUAACCAAUAACAUCCUUGAAAGAGGAUUAUAGGGGGACAAAAUAAUGGUGGAAAAUUAAGUCUAUGGUUUACUACCUUUUGCAAGCAUAGAAAUAAGAGUUAUUGGAGUGUAAGCCAUGUCAAGAGAAUCAUCCUAGAAAUAGGGAUUCUUGAUUGAGGUUUAGGGUGAUUACGAAUUGUAUACUUGUUAGGUGCUCGAAAGAACUAAUAGAUGAAAUUGUUGCGGUUUUUUUGAAAGAUUGGCUACAAUGACUUUCGACCUAGCGUAUUUUUGCUUUGAAGAAAUAGAAAAUCCAUUAAAAGAAUGAAAUGCAUAGAUUUCAAAUGCAUGCAAAAAAAGUGAAGAAAAAGAGGUGAAGAGCAUGUGAGUAAAACAAAAAGGGAAAAGUAGGUAAAUUAGUAAAGGAAAAAGAAGUGGCCCAAAUAGCAAUGCAUCAAUGGAUUAUAAUGUAGAAGUUCAAGGAGGUUUUAGCCUUAUCAUUCCAAAUUAAUGUCCUACCCUACCCGAAACCUACAUUACAAGCUCAAAAGGUCUUUUUGUGAUUCCCAACCAAAUGUGGUCAUUGUAGUAGUGAUUGAAAAUAGGGGCAAGCCUAUGUCAUGGUACUUGUUAACAUGGAGAUUUCUAGAGAGAGUGAGUGUUUGCACUUAAAAUUCCUUGUUGCGUGAUUGGUAACUAGGUGUAUCAAUUAUUUCUUUCUUGUGAGGAGUCAUGUGAACUAGUUGGGGUGGGUGAUUUUGUCAUCUUCCGCAUAAUGAGAUAAACGGAAGUAUAUCAUGAUUGUAGUCAACAUAAGAUUCAUUUCUAGAGUGUUAGCAGUUGUUACAUAGUUUCUCUCUGAAGUCUAUUACAUCCUUCACUAUUCUAUUUUAUGAUGAGGGAAGUCAUUAAAAGCCUAUUUUCCCAUGUGUGAAAAGUUUUUGGUGGUAUCAAUCAAGUUUAAGUCAUCAUAAUCAUUGGGUGAUAGAAUAAGCGCAAACAUAUGAAAUUGUCUCAUAAUAAGGGGGGGGGGUUAAUGAGGGGUGAUUUUUCCACUAAUUCUCACUAAACAUUUGUGCACAUUACCUUAUUUUAAAUAAAUAAAUGAGACAUAUUAAUGAUAAAAAUGCACUGAUAUCCACUCUUUGCAGGCAUAGAGUUUAGGAGAUCAAAAGAUGUGGAUUAGAGCUGAAAAUGACAAAAGGGGAGCAAAGAAGAGUGCAGAUGAAGACCUGGACUACAUUAACCUCAGUUUCCGCUACUGUGGUCCUCAAUCCACGAUCUCGAUCAGUCAAGAUGAUCAGCACAAUGCGGUCGUAGCAUACAAUCGCGGUCGCAUGGACACAAUCACAGACAUUCUUGUACGAUCAUAGUUCAAUAGGAAUAUGCCUAAGGGUGGAUCUAUAAAACCACUUAGAUGAAUCCCAAACCAUAUUUAACCAAAUAACACUUUCUUCUUUAGGUAUUGCUUACCUCAUAACUAUUUUUCUAAUUUGAACGAAGUAAACUCAAAUUGGGCAAGUGUGUAACUACUUUUGGAGGCUUAAUUUCUUAGUGAUUUUGUGAAGAAUAAAUGUUUUGGAUAAUUCUUAUGGUAUAUUUCUCGUUACUUCCUUCAUGAGUAUAUAUGUAAUUUAGUCUUGGGAUUAUGUUAAACUAAAGAAUAAUUGUGUGUGGACGUUGUUGUGUUUGCAUGUUUGUUAGUUGUUGAAUAUGGAUUCCAUCAUUGCUUGAGCUUAUUAUUUAGAAUUUGAUAGGUGAAAACCCUGAAUCUCCAAAUGGGUUUGAUGGGUGAAAACCCCAAACUCUAGAAACCUUUGUCAUCCUUUAAAAAGGGACUAAGGUGAACUUAAGGUAACCAAUAACAUCCUUGAAAGAGGAUUAUAGGGGGACAAAAUAAUGGUGGAAAAUUAAGUCUAUGGUUUACUACCUUUUGCAAGCAUAGAAAUAAGAGUUAUUGGAGUGUAAGCCAUGUCAAGAGAAUCAUCCUAGAAAUAGGGAUUCUUGAUUGAGGUUUAGGGUGAUUACGAAUUGUAUACUUGUUAGGUGCUCGAAAGAACUAAUAGAUGAAAUUGUUGCGGUUUUUUUGAAAGAUUGGCUACAAUGACUUUCGACCUAGCGUAUACUUUGAACAACAACUAAUAUUCAUGCCAAACUAUCAUUAACCCAUACACUUUACCUUUAAGUAGACAUAAUCACAAGACCCUUUCUAUUCUUCAUUUUAAAUUGAAAGUGUUAAGUCCGUGCUUUGUUAGUUGACAAACUAUAUCCAAAUCAAACCCCCCUCCCCAUUUUAUUUUACAUAUCUUAUCUAUUAUCACUCCUGGUAAACUCAUAGUAACUAGGACACCCAUAAGAUUUGAAGCCUAUAAUUCGCUCCUUCAACCCCAACUCUAGUUGGGUUGUUUGACAAUGCCGCCUCAACCCUCAAUCAUGAGAGUGAGUUGAGCGUUAUCAAAACCCUUGACUUAUAAUAUUAUUUGGGAUUCUAUUCUUAACAUAACUCAAUAUAACACUCUUAAGCUCUUUCAAAUUCACUCAAGCAGCCAUACUUAGGGUUUCCAAGAUAUAGGUUAUCCAAGGACUUAAGGGUAGAAUUUCUUUUGUGAAACUUGUUAUUUCAAUCAUGUUACUCUUCACUCAUUGUUAAUUUAUUAAAAUCAUAUGUUUUAAACUAUUGUUCAUGAGAUGUUUAUGUUAGUUUUGAAAUAGAGGUAAAGGGUUUGGAAUGCGAGUAGUUUAAUAAUGUUUUCCAUAGUUUACAUAUGAUUAUUCAUGAUUUAAUUAUGGUUCCGAACUUGUGAGUGAAUGGGAAUGGUCAAUGAACUAGGUAUUGUAAUUUCCCCAAACUUUUGACUUUUGAAGUGGUUUUGACCCCAACCCCAUAUUGUGAAAUUGGUUGUUAAUUCUGACAAAUAUGGGAAUUUCUAAAAUUGAACCAAUGGGAUUGUAAAUUUCCCAAAGUAAUGAAAACUGUUUUAGCAUGUUGAUGUUACCAUGCAAGUGUAGUUGGUCUGACGAUACCAACAAUGUAUGCCUUAAUAUUAAAUAUAGUUCAAAGAAUGGGAAUGAGUGAUGAAUUUUUUAAUUGGGCUUUAAUGAGGAUUGUUGUUCGAGUGAGCGAUACUAAAAACCACGUUUACCGAUAUGGGAGUAUAAUUGACUAGGGAGAUUCAAGCACCCCUUAUUAUUAUUACAUUAUUAGGGAGGUCCGAGUCUCUUGCACAUCAUUACAUGAUCGGGUGCUUAAAUCACCUUAGUAUAUAACUAGGAAUUUUGACUCCCUCAUACAUAUAUAUGAGAUUAUUCUCCAGUUCAUGCAGCUACAUGCACUGGGACCCAACCAUAGGGUGAGAGUUGGGGCCCAUAUAGCUCAUCAGUAUAUGUUAUGAUAGGUGAGCUACACAAUUUAGGCUAAAGUUUUUAAGUGCAUGUUAAGUAUUAUUCCCUAACCCGGCAUAUGGUAUAUCUAUAUGUAUAUGCAUAUGAUUAUGUGCAUUGGUUUUCACUAAUUUUGAGAUGUUGUUCAUGGAAUUAUGUUAUCCUUAUCUCUGGGUUACAUGGUAUUAUUCACCCUACUAACCAUCUCGAACGUUGUAUCCCCACGCAAUAUAGGCACCGAAGUUUCUUCUACUUUUCUGGUGCAAAGUUAGGUUUCUCAGUUUAGUCCAUUGUUUGUAGUGUUGGGGUGAAGUGGUGAGCUUCCAUUCUCCAAUAGGCUUAGGCAUUUCACCAGCUUUUAUUCUUAGAUUUUGAGUUGAUAAUUACCUUCAUUAUCAUUAAAAUUAUCAUUUUCAUUCUCACUGUUAACGAUCAGAGUCGGGGACUUAUCCCGGCCAAGACUAGUUUUGGUUCUUUAUUUAGAAGGCUUUGUUUGGGUUACUAUGGUAUUGGGUGAUGUUGGUCGGUUGGUUGGUCGGUCAUCAAUUUCCAAUUAUAGACUUGUUUUGAUUUUCUUUAAGAUUAUUCCAUGCUCUCUUGUUAUAUGUUCGAAAUUUAUCCAACAUUGGGGGAUGUUGUGUAUGGUUUAGCUAGGUACAAAGGGUGAUCUUUGGUCCACAUGGGAAUUGAGAUACCCGUCACGGCCAGCCCUUGGUUUGGCAUGACAUAGAUUGUAUCAAAGCCUAGGAUUGGUAUCAUUAGGUGUUCAAACAAAGCCUUAUCAAGUAGAUCAUAAUUUAUGGGUAUGUAGCGCGCCACACUUAUUGGGGAGAGGGUACGAGGCAUUUAGGAAUAUUUCCUUUUCUUGUUGUUCUAUAUCAAGCUAUAGAGUCUAAUGUCUUGAAUCUCCUCUAAUUUUUGUGUGUUCGCUUUUCAGAUCAUGCCUCCCUGAAGAUUUGAUUCUCGUAACAACUCUUCUGUCCCGUCUAAGGACAAUGUGGAUGGAGCUCAUCCUACUCCUAGAGUUCAGACCUAGUCUAGGGUCACUACUUAUGAUUAUCUUGAGGUAUAUCCUCCGGUUCCCCCUAUCCCACCUCAGACAACCCAAGCUGGUGUGUCUUAUGUUGAGUUUUGCCAAUUGAUUCAUUUGCUUACCCAUUUGGUGGUCUCCCACACUUAGCGUGUUGCUUCUGUUGAUUCAUCAUCCAAGACCAUUAGAGUUGGUGAAUUUAUGAGGUUGAGACCUCCUACUUUCACUAGUUCUUAAGUUGAGUAAGAUACUCAAAACUUUAUAGAUGAGAUGGAAAAUAUAUUCCAUGUGAUGCAUGAUACUGAUGUGGAGGGUGUAGAGUCCGUUGCUUAUCAGUUAAAGGAUAUUUCAUACCACUGGUAUGAAGAAUAGGAACAUUAUAAAGGUGACGUGUUGGGUUUGCUUUGAAGGAUGAUUUCUAUAGUGCUUUCCUUGACCGCUUCUUUCCUCGGGAGUUGAGGGAGGCGAAGGCCGAGGUUUUUCUGAAUCUGAAGCAAGGUAGAAUGUCAGUGAAGGAAUAUGCAAUGAAGUUUCAUCAGCUGUCGCGUUAUGCCACUAAGUUGGUGUCUAUUAUGAGGACUAGAAUGAGAAAGUAUGACUUUGGGUUGUCUCAUGAGUUGAUCUUAGAAAGCAAGGUUGCCUUGCUAAAUAAGGAUAUAGAUAUCUCUAGACUUGUAUGUGUAUUCAACAAGUAGAAGAAGAAAAUAAAAAGCAAGCGAAGAUGAGUGAAAGGCAGAGUAAGAAGUUUCAUUAUUCAAAUCAUGGUAGAGGUCAGAAGCAAAAUGGUAGAGAUGGUGGAAAGUGGUUUAAUAAGAAGUGGGGAAAUUCUGGUUCCUACUCUACAGCUAGUACACCUUAUCCAUAGUCAUUGAUUGAUCGUCAUUAUCAGUAUAACAGUGGGUUUAGAUCACUAGGAGGCCAGCCUCAGGCUACCAAGGCUCAGUAUGCUCCGUCAUAUCCUCCUUGCAGAUUUUAUUGUCAGGUGUAUCGUGGUUUUUCAAAGAAAGGAGGAACAAGUGCUUUAAAUGUGGUCAGAUUGUUCAUAUAUAGAAGGAUUGUCCUUCUAAGGUUGCUUCUAGGGAAAAUAAUAUUCUUGUUGCUAAUUUAUCAGCUCUCACACCAAAAGGUGUUACUUUUGCUUCUAGCUCUGACACUGGUCAAAACCGUCUGUGUGCUCUUUCCACUAGCUAGGAUUUUGAGGCUUCCCCCGAUGUUAUUACUAGUACACUCAAAAUCUUUUCUCCUGAUGUAUAAUGUCUAGUUUAUCCCGAUUCAACUCUUUCUUAUGUAACCCCUUAUAUGGCUAUUAAUUUUGGCUUUGAUCCUGAGUAUAUUUUGGAUUCUUUCUCCGUGUCCACAAUAGUAGGUGACUCCAUUGUGGCUAGAAAGGUCUAUAAUGGUUAUGUGUUGUCAAUCCAUGGUAGGGAGACCUUGGUGGAUCUAAUAGAAUUGGACAUGUUAGACUUUGAUGUGUUUUUGGGGAUGGAUUGGUUGGACUCAUGCUAUUUGUAUCUUGAUUGCCGAACCCAAAGGAUUUGUUUUUGUCAAAGCCUGAACCGAGGCCUAGACAUAAUGGGCAUCCCAAGUCCAACAAGGACCGGGGAUCGCCCUUUAUAACCCAACCCAAAUACCAUAUUCGCCUCAUGAUGGGAAGAAUUUCAAACAUAUAACAAGAUAGCAGAAAUGUUCUCAUUAAGACUCUGGUGUAGGGUCACAAUCGUGACCGACCUAACCGAGUCCAACCGUACCCGCCAAUCGCCCAAUCAUACCAAACCAAAGACCAUAAACUAGGCCAUAACUAGAUAAGUUGGACAAAAUUUAAUGCAAUUAAUCCAAAAAUGUAAUAGGAUGGAACAAUCAACAAUAUCAUCCAAUGAUGUCAGCCUUUCAGCUUAUUCCAAUGCUAAGGCCGAAACUAAUAUCGAUCCCGCCCAUUCCAACCCCCAGAAGUACCACAAAGCCUCUAUCUAAAAGAGUAAAUAAAUUCGGUUGACACAUGCCCCUAACCAUAGCCAAAACCAAUAUACAAAAUAAAAAAUAAGUUUCUAAAAGUAUCCAUAACAUGAAAUGAUGCCUUUCGAAAGGAUGAAAGCUCAUCACUUCAGUCCAAAUUUUGUCCCCUAGUCAAUCACUAUGUAGAUGGAGUAGAAUGGCCGGUUCUUGUAUAGCAUAGGUAUACAGCUACCAGUAGAUGGGAUUAGUGAGUGACCGCUAGCAUGAAUCUCAAGAUAAGGAUAAAAUAAUGCUAGUUAUAAAACAAAGUAAAACCAUCCAAUGCACAACCAUACAUAUAUAUAUAACCAUAUUAGGAAAGGGGAUCGGGUUUAGCAUGCCUUUAAAACCAUUACCUGGGUUGUGUAGCUUGGCGUCCUAAACCGCCCAUGGGCUAUAUGGGUUUAUCUCUCCCUACUGAAAAGGCCCAAGUGCGUGUAGCUGCACGACCAGGGAAUUAUUCCAUAGGAAGACUAGUAUACCCCCAAUAAUGUGACAUCAUGCACACGGUCCACUAAGACCAAUCCUCAAAUCGACAAAUACGAGUUUCGAGUUUUGGUCCCCCGGAGACCGCCACCUUCCAUGGCUUUGCUACACACCCGCCAUUAAUACCCAAUUAAAGCCAAUUUCUAUAUAACCAAUUAAUUAUCUAUUUAUAAACCACGUCCAUUGAUAUUGGUAUCGCCAUAUCAACCCUUACUUGCAAGUAUCAUCCAUAGCCAACCAUUUUUAGGUUUAAGGGGACUUUCAAGUGCCCUUCUAUAUACCAUAUUAAACCACUUGGGAGACUUCCAUGUUCCCCACAAGCAUAACCAUUUUUAUUUUAGUCUUUCAAAACCAUUUAAACCAUGAAUAAUUCCUUUACCAAGUUUUAAACAUGCAAGAGUUCUAUUAAAAGAAGUCAAUGCAAUGAACAUAUCUUUAUAAGAAUUUUAUCAAACACAUUUGGGGCAUAAUAUAACCAAAACCAAUUCGAAUUACCAAUUAACCAUUACCAUGUAAUCCAAUUAUCCAAGACCAUCAUUAAUGCAUGUAAAAGCAUAAUUAAAACCAUAGAAAUCAUAACCAAAUAUUUAAUAUCAAAAACCCCACAAAUAAUAGUUGAAAACCAUAAUCAUGCAAUAAUAAAAUCCACGAAAUCAAACAUAUAACCAUGCCAUUAGUUAAAUUAACAAUGAGGGGAGAGAAACAUGUCUUAAACCAAGAAGAUGACGAAAAGAAAUCCCCAAGACAUGCCCCAAAGAAAUCCUUUAGUUGAAACCCUAGCUCCCUUUCCCCAAAAGUACUUGAGAGAAUUAUAAAGUGUUUUGGAAUAGUUGUAAGUGUUAAGGUAUAGAAUAACAGGGUAAAUAGCCUCCAAAGUGUAUUAGAAGUUGUGGGUCCUAAUUAGGGUAAGUAGUAAAAUAUCCAGAAUAACCCCACUUAAAUUUCUUAAAAAAUCAUCACAGGGAUACAACUGACCCAUACGAGUCAUACCCUCCUAAUACAAUUGAUACCCACCACUCGUAUCUAAGCCUCACCUUUGGAUCAGACAUAGUCCAGUAUAUGACUUAUCCAACCAAGUCAUAACCCUAGCAUACGAUCUAUACCCAUGACCUGUAUCCCUGGUAGAAUGAAAUAUCAGGAGAAUCAAACACUACCCAUCAUACGAGUCUAUGAUAUGACUCAUACAAAGUCCAGUGACCAAAACCAUCCCACCAACUAACACUGUUCAGCAUACGAUAGGACUAUACCACUUAUACCCCACCAUACUGUUCAUACCCAUGAGUCAUAUUAGGUUCAAAGAAUGGAAUUCUUUGAAAUUUUCUAAGGAUCAAAAUCCAAGAUGUUUUAGUCUCCCCCGUGAGGAACAUUCAUCCCUGAAUGAUGGACAAGGAAGGGGUAACCACACACAGAGUAAUUUGUAUUAUCAAACUUCGCUUUAACAAAGUUAGAAGACAAAGAGGCAAAGAUGUUAAUCUUUUCUUUAACAACCUCAGAAAAUAAAGAUGCAUUGAAGACACAUACCUUCCGUAUGAAUCCCAAGAGCAGAAAACAAGAGCGGAUAUUUGGAUUUCAUUUCCUCUUCCAUUUCCCAAGUAGUCUCUUACACCUUAUGCUUCCGCCAAAGAACCUUAACCGAAGCAGCCUCCUUGGUUCGCAAUCGAUGAACCUGCCUAUAAAAGAUCUCAACCUAUACUUCUUCAAAAGACAAAGAAUCAGUGAGACCCAAUCCUUCCAAAGGAACAAUCGAAGAAAGAUUGCCAAUCCACUUACUCAACAUGGGAACAUAAAAUACUGGAUGAACUGAGCUCAAGCUAGAUGGAAACUCCAAUUCAUAAGCAAUAUUACCAACCUUUCAUAAAAUCUCGUAAGGGCCAAUGAACCGAGGACUGAGUUUUCCCUUUCUUCCAAACCUCACUGUUUCCUUCAUGGGAGGCACCUUGAGGAAAACUUUAUCCCCGACCUCAAACUCUAAGUCUUUAUGCCUAACAUUCGCAUAGAACUUUUGGCAAUUUUGGGCAGCUUUAAGCCUAUGCCAAAUCACCUUCUCCAUCAUUUGAUAAACCAAACUUGAGCUGAAUAUAUUCUCCUCACCAAGCUCAAACAACCAAUAGGAGAUCUACACGUCCUAUUAUACAAUGCCUCAGAAGGAGCCAUACUAAUACUAGUAUGGUAGCUAUUAUUGUAAGCAAACUCCACCAAAGGUAGAUGGUCAAACCAACUGCCACCAUAAUCAAUCACACAUGCCCAAAGCAUAUCCUCCAAUGUAUGAUUAGUUCUCUCCACUGGCCCAUCCAUCUACGAAUGAAAAGCAGUACUCAGACUAACCUUAGUCCCCAACCCUUUCUGAAAAGAUCGUCAAAAGUGAGAUGUAAAUAGCAUAACUAUAAAGCCUCGAGUUUAUACCCUGGAUGCUAUACGAUGCUUCCAACCCCAAAGGACCUCAAGCUAACCCAUUAUUGAUAUCUUCUAUGAUCACUGAAACAUGAUAUAGUAGUAAAUAGGGAAUAAUAAGCUGAAAUGCCAUAAGGUUCAAAAUAUCUAAAAUACUGAUAAAAUAUAUUAUCUGUGAUAGUAUUUGUAAAACUGAAUACUAACUUAAAUCUAGUCUGAAAAGCCUCUAAACUAAACUGUCUAAAUGUAGAGUUGAUGGGGCAAUCCACCAACUAACUCCAUCUACCAAAAUAAUGAAUCUACUAAAAUAAUAAAAUAAAAGAAUAUCCUCGAAUGAUGAGGAUGCUGACUGAAUCUGAAUCUAUCUAUGCACGAUCGGGAACCUAGUGUUCGAACCUAUGAUAUGAGAUAUCAUAGCACAAAUAAAGAGUAUGCAUCAGUACGUUGAAUAUACUACUAUGCUAGAUGAGGUAAGUCUGAAUGCAAGGGUUCAUAUGCAUGAACAAUAAUAACUGUAUGAUAUAGAGUAGCUAAACCUGAGAGUACAUAGAUAACUGAUACUGCUGUAAAUACUGAGUAUGCACUAAUGUGCAUAUAAAUAAAUACUAUGACUAAGCUUGUCUGAAGCUAAGUCCUAAAUUUUGAUACUGAUUAACUAAUAUCUGAAGCUAUUGAUAAUUGAUUUACUAAUACUAGUUGACUGUAUCUGACAAUCCUGAUUCUGUAGAAUUAAAUUGAGUUCUAUUCUGAAGACUGAAACUGAGACUGUAGAAGGUAAUCAUCUAAGCGACAUGCCCCAAAUAAGAUAAGAUAACUGAGUUGGGUCUAAACUAUGACCCUAGUUAGAAAGGUAUCAGUACCGUGCCACGGGUAAAGACACUGGAGAGUUACCCUAAUCUGGUAGGUACUCUAUGAGAAUAGUGGAACCCUUAUCUGGUAGGUUAAAAUACCUCAUCAACCCUAAAUUGGCAAGUUUGAUGUCUCAAACUACGUUGGCAACGUAGUUUUGGAAUGCAAGGAUUUCUUAUAAGGAUCACACCCUCUACUGGCAAGUGAGGCUCAAUCCUUGGGUUUACUCGGUGCCGAAUCAUACUCCCAACUGAAAGAUACUAAAUAGAGUAUAAUAAACUGGACUUGACUGAAUACUGAGAUUACUGAGUUUUCCUAAGUUUUGUAACCAACUGAGUUCUAUAACUGACUAAGAGUACUAAUGAUUGAGACAUGACUGAGAUUCUAUAAAUAACACUAGCUCUAUGUAAAUAGAUAAAUUGUUAGGUAUUUAAUACCCCCAGAACUGGAUAUCAUAAAAGAAAGGCUUACUAAAAUCUUGAAAACAUAUCAAUGUACACUUGUCCAUAAUUCACUCAUGGAGGCAUUUAAUCAAAUACUUGUAGUGCAUCUACUUAUACAUGAAAGGGGAAUACAUGCUAUCAUGUUAUAAUGGCACUAUUUCAUUCACAUAGGCAUUUAUCAAACACAUGGGGAGCAUGCUUAGGUUAUACAAUAAUCAAAACAUAUAGUUAUCAUGGUUACAUCAAUCAACUUACAAAUUGAAGGGUUUAUCAUGAAAAUCAUGUAAUUCAACACAUACAAUGAUUAAUUUCAUAAAAGCAUGUAAUUUAAUCAUGGACUAAAACCCAACAAUAACAUGAACAUGAAUUCAAUUCAAUUCAAGAAUGGAAGUUCAUAAUUCAACAAUCUUGUAUUUUAAAAAUGGAUUCAUGGACUCUAUGGGUGAAAGGAACCCAUAGAUGAACACCUAACGUACCAUGGAUUAUUAAUUCUUGAAGGUUCUUGGAGAGACUCUUGAUUUUUGCUCUUGUUUCUUGAAGCUAGGGUUUAUCCCCUUUUGAGAGAAAAUGACUUAAUCUUUGAAUAAAUAAUGAGAUAAUGGGUUAUUUAGGGGUAAAUUUCAUGUUUAGACUGCUUAUGGCCAUGGCAAAAAUACCUAUUUACCCCUGAGAAUGACUUAAAAAAUUAUACUAAAAAACCUGAUUUGGGGCCUUGGCGUGAAGCGCCAUUAUCACCCCCAAGCCACUGGAAAAUGACAACUGGUAAAGUGGAUAUUGGUGCGAUAUGGUGGAAUCGCAUUGUAAUAUUGGAUAGGACCUAGAAGCUCAGCACGACAUGGUACAAUCACGUUGGCUCAUUGGAAAUUGACAAAUAUGAAAAUAAGCUUUGGCGUGAUGCAUCGAUAUCGCGGUACCUCACUGGAAACUAACAAUUACCAUUUUCGCUUACUCCGCAAUGCGCUAGUAGCCUGAAUUACGGUGCUUAAUGACUAAAAUUUAAAAUAGUCAUAACUUCUUACCCGGUUAUCGGAUUUAAGAAAAUUUUAUAUCAUUAGAAAGCUGAUUCAAUUUUCUAUGCAAUAGUUGGCUCUAAACUGAAAAAUACUGAGCGUUUCAAAAAAUUUAUAUUAGAUAACUCAUGAACUAAGAGUUAAGUUAAGCUUAAAAAAUAUGAGGUAUUAUAAUAUCUCCCCCUUGGGAACAUUCAUCCUCGAAUAAGACUGAUUGAGCUAAGACACUGAUAGGCUGAGUUUACACACUGAACAUGUAUAUCUGAUGCAUGACUACAUAACUGAACUACUGACAAACUAAGCUCUUACACUGAAGUACAUAUCUGAUGCAUGGAAUUUAUGAUUGAAGCAACUGACAAGCUAGGUUUUCAUACUGAACAUGCAUAUCUGAUGCAUGAGUAUAUGAUUGAAUUAAUUCAUGAAUGCAUGACUGAAUAUGCAACGGUAAUGGAUACCAAGUUAUAAUUAUAUCUGAAUAAGGAACUGAGUUAACCUAAGAAAAAAUUGUUACCUUAAGCAGGAUCUGAGGUUGCAGAGAAGAGGUAAGGAUACUUGGUCUACAUAUCUGCUUCUACUUCCUAAGUAGCUCCCUCUACAUACUGAUUCCACCAAAGGACUUUAACUAAGGGAACUUCUUUGUUCCUCAAUCUAUAAAUAUAAUGAUCGAGGAUCUGGACUGGAACCUCUUUGAAAGAGAGAUCAUUCUAAAUAUUUAUAUCCUCUAAAUGAACUAUGACUGCUGGGUCACCAAUGCAUUUUUUUAGCAAGGAGACGUGGAAUACUGGAUGCAAUGAUGCUAGAUCCUAAGGUAACUAAAGCUCAUAAGCUAUCUUUUCAGAACGGAUGAGAAUUCUGAAAGAACUGACAUAUCGGGGACUGAGCUUUUCCUUCUUGUUGAACCUCUUUACCCCCUUCAUGGGAGAUAUUUUUAAGAACGCAAAAUCACCAAUCUAAAACUCAAGAUCUUUUCUCCGCAUAUCUACGUACGACUUCUAUUUGCUAUGGGCAACCCUAAUUCUUUCUCUGAUUAACUGAACCUUUUCUAAGGCAUCAAAUACUAGGUCAGGCCCAACUACUGUGGCCUCACCUACCUCAAACCAAAAAUUUAGAGAUCUGCAUCUCCUACCAUAGAGAGCCUUAAAUGGAGCCAUCUGAAAACUGGAAUGAUAGUUGUUAUUGUAUGUGAACUCGAUCAAAGGCUAGUGGUCAUCCCAAAUACCCUUAAAAUCGAAAAUGCAUGCUCUUACCAUAUCUUCUAAGGUCUAAAUGGUCCUUUCUACUUGACUAUCUAUCUGAGGGUAGAAGCCUGUACUGAGGUGAACUUGGGAAUCACAACCCUUUUGGAAUGCUUUCCAGAAAUGAAAGGUAAAUUGGGUACCUCUAUCUGAGAUAAUGGAUACUAGAACUCCGUAUAACCUGACCAACUCUCUAAUAUAGAGUUUGGCAUAGUCCUCAGCUAAAUAAGAGGUAUAGACUGGCGAAAAAUGAGUUGAUUUGGUUAUCUUAUCUAUGAUAACCCAAAUAGAAUCAUGUUGAUGACGGGUACGAGGCAAACCUAUCACAAAAUCCAUGUUCACUUCCUCCCACUUACAGGUAGGAAUACUGAACUCCUACAUAGAACUACUAGGCUACUGGUUCUCAAUCUUAACUUGUUGACAUGUAGAGCACUUAGCUACAAACUCUGCAAUGUCUCUCUUCAUCCCACUCAACUAGUAGAUCUCUCACAAAUCGUGGUAUAUCUUAGUGGCCCUUGGAUAAAUAAAGUAACACGCACCAUGUGUUUCUGUAAGAAUUCGCUGCCUUAAGUCGUCUACACUUGGCACACAUAGCCGACCUGGGCAACGCAACACACCAUCUUUUUCUUAGGAGAAAACCUCUACUUUCUGACCUCUAAGUAACUCUUUCAACUUAACUAGACUGGGAUCGCUAUCCUAUUUUUCCUUUACCUCAAGAACUAGAGAAGAUUUGGAACUGUUCUGAGCCCACACGCUACCUUCUGCUGAAUCAACUAAGCAGACACCUAGUCGGUAAAGCUGAUGAACUUCCUGAACUAACUUCUUCUAAUUAUCCUCAACAUAAGUAACACUACCCAUAGAACACUCAUAUCAUAAUUUUUUAGUAACUUUAACCACCUUCUCUGAUGCAAAUUCGAAUCCUUCUAAGCGAACACAAACUGAAAGCUUUUAUGGUCUGUGAACACAUCAACAUGUACCCUAUACAAGUAAUGCCUCCAAAUAUUUAAGGCAAACAUUAUAGCUGCUAACUCGAGAUCACGAGUCGGAUAAUUCUUCUAGGGGCUUAAGCUGUCUAGAGGCAUAGGCUAUGACCUUACCUCUCUACAUGAGGACACAACCCAAACCUACUCUGGAUGCAUCAUAGUACAUAACAAACCCAUCUAAACCAACUGGUAGAGUCAAAAUUGAGCUGAGGUGAGUCGAGUCUUCAUCUCCUGAAAAUACUUCUUAUAGGAAUCUAACCACUGAAACUGGACUUUCUUCUGAGUUAAUCAAGACAUGAGGGAUGCCAUAGAUGAAAAUCCUUUAACAAAUCGACGGUAAUAGCUAGCUAAACCCAAGAAACUCUGGAUAUCUGAUGGAGAGAUGGGUUUAGGCUAGUUUCUCACCAUUUUUGUCUUUUGAGGAUCAACUCUAAUGCCACCUCCAAAAAUAAUAUGACCAAGGAAUGCUACUGACCUUAGCCAAAAUUUACACAUACUAAAUUUGGCGAACUGAUGAUGAGUUCUGAGAGUCUGAAAUACUAUUCUGCGGUGGUUUGCAUGAUCAUUCUCGCUAUGGAAAUAGACAAAAAUGUCAUUGAUAAAGACUAUAACGAACAUGUCUAAUUACUACUUGAAAAUGGGUUCAUUAAGUCCAUGAAAGUUGCUAGGGCAUCAUUAAGAUCAAAGGACAUGACUAGAAACUCAAAGUAACCAUACCGAGUUCUAAAAGAUGUUUUAGAAAUGUCACAUUUCUGACUCUGAGCUGAUAAGAGCCUGAUCUGAGGUCUAUAGUAGAAGAGUAACUAGUACCCUGAAGUUCGUCAAAUAAGUCAUCGAUUCAAGGAAGUAGGUAUUUAUUCAUGACUAUAACUUUGUUCAACUGAUAAUAGUCUAUACAUAUUCUAAGAAAAUCGUCUUUCUUACGCACGUAUAAGACUGGUGCGCCCUAUGGGGAAAUACUGGAUCUAAUGAAUCCCUUAUCUAAGAGAUCCUUCAAUUGUUCUUUUAGAUCUUUGAGUUUUGCUGGAGCCAUUCUAUAUGGCGGAAUAGAUGUAGGCUGAGUAUAUGGCAGAAGGUCUAUUCCUAAGUCAAUUUCCCUAACGGGAGAAACUCUAGGAAGAUCUUUGGGAAACAUAUUUGAGAAUUCAUUUACUACUAGAACUAACUCAAGAGUUGGAGUUUCUGAGUUUGAGUCUUUGACUAGCACAAGAUGGUAGACACAUCCCAUGGAUAUCAUUUUUGUCGCUCUAAGGUAUGAAAUCAACUCACCCUUAAGUGUUGUGGUACUACCCCUCCAUUCAAGGAUUGGUUCAUUUGGAAACUAAAAAUAAACUAUUCUAUUUCUACAAUCAACUGAGGUAUAACAUAAGUGGAGCCAAUCUAUGCCGAAAAUGACAUCAAAAUCCGCCAUCUCUAGCUCUAAAAGGUCUACUAUAGUAACUUUUCGAGAUAUCAUAAUUGGACAGUUCCUACAUACCCAUAGAGCUAUGAUAGAUUUACCCACUGGGGUAGAAACUGAGAAAGGCUCUGCUAAAAUUUCUGGACUGAAUUUGAAGUUAACAGCUAUAUAAGAAGUUAUGAAAGAUAAAUAAGCUCAUGGAUCUAGCAAGGCAUAAAUAUGUAAAUGGAAGAUCCGUAACAUACCAGUGACCACAUCAGAAGGAUUUUCCUGAUCUUGUCUAGACUAAAGUGCAUAAAGCCUGUUUGGACGUUGCCUACUGAUGGCACUGGAAGUGGCACCCUGCUGAUUCGGGUGAUCGGACUGAGCUGAAGGACGAUUAUACUGACCUUGAAAACCUAACUGAGGACAAUAUCUGACUCUGUGGCCUUGCUUGCCAUACUUGAAACAAAUAUCAUUGCCAGCUCUGUAGACACACUUGUGGUUUCUGCCACAUGUCUGACAAAAAGGAUUUGUUCGAGCAUUGCUGACACUACCCAGAGAUUUAGAGCCUCGUGCCCUAUCUUGGUUACUAUUUCUGAACUUAGGAACUAGAGAACUGGUUGAGGACAGAGCUAGAACUAAAUAUUUUUGAUGAAACUGGGAACGGUUUUCGCCCUCUGACUUAAGCUGAUUAAAAUUAAAGCUACCUAUUCUAGCUCACUUGCUCUCCUCUCUCUCUCUCUCUAAUUUUAACCUCUUUUAUUUAAUGAGCAUGGACCAUGAGCCUUGAUAUAUCUAUCUCCUUAAUCAACAUCAUUGUUCUGCACUCUUUAACCAUACUAUCUGACACCCCAAAUAUGAACUUGUUCAUUCUUGAUCUACUGUCUUCUACUACAUGGGGAGCAUACCUAGCUAACUGAGUAAACUUGAGGGAAUACUCUUUCACACUCAUACUGCCCUUCCUAAGAUUGAUGAAAUCUUAACACCUUGGCUUCUCUUAGCUCUAAGGUAAAAAAUCUAUCUAGAAAAGCAGUAGCAAACUCUUCCCACUCUAAGGGCUCUGUAUCUGUGUCCCUUUCUACCUUCUACAGCUUAAACCAUAUAUGAGCUACAUCUUAUAGCUGAUAGGAAGCUAACUCGGCACUCUCACUGGAAGUCACUCCUAUAAUAUCUAUGAAUUUCUGGACCAGAUUGAGGACUCCUGUGGGUUCUCUUCUGGCUUAGAUCUUGAGAAUAGAGGAGGAUUCAUUUCGGUGAAGUCCCGAAUCCUUGCUGCAGUAGUAUUGGCCACUGGGUUGGUCGGAACAGUAGUUGGUCGUUCAUUUUGGGCUGCUACGGAGUUGGCUAGAGUAGUAAUUACAGCUCUGAAUUUUGCAUGAGAGAUAUGCUCGUCCAAGGGAUCUUCCUGAAUGGGUGAGGCGCUGACUGAUUUUUGGUUUUCCUUUCAUUAUCUUUUUGGAAAGCAUGUUCUAUAAAUAAAAAGGAGGAAACGAAUUAGACUAAGAGUUUAUCUUGAGCUUAAGCUUACUCACACGACAUGAAUACUGAAAGAAAGGAAAUUAAUUCCUAAAACAUCUCAUAGCCUCCUGUCCAUAAGUAUGGCGUGCUACACACCUAUGUAUAAGACUCUACUAGAUGUGGCUUUCAUACUUCCUAGUACACUGUUGAACCUAACUAUGAUAUAAAGUUUGUAACGCCCCAAGUCUGUACCCUAGAUGCUACACGGUGCUUACGACCCUAAAGGACCACAAGCUAACCCAUGACUGAUAUCUGCUGUAAGAACUAAAACAUGAUACAGUAAUAAAUACAGAAUAAUAGGCUGAAAUGCCAUAAGGUUCAAAACAUCUAAAAUACUGAUAAAAUAUAUCAUCUGUGAUAAUAUCUGUAAAACUAAAUACUGACUGAAAUCUAGUCUGAAAAGCCUCUCAACUGAACUAUUUGAAUGUGGAGUUGAUGGUACAAUUCCCCAACUAACUCUAUCUACUGAAAUACUGAAUCUACUAAAAUAAUGAAAUAAAAGAAUAUCCUCGAAUGAUAAGGACUCACUGCUAAUCUACUGUUGCUAGCUGAAUCUAAAUCUAUCUAUGCGCGGUUGGGAACCUAAGCAUCUGAACCUAUGAUAUGAGACAUCAUAAUGCAAAUAAAGAGUAAACGUUAGUACAUGAAAUGUACUAGUAUGCUAGAUGAGGUAAGGCUGAAUACAAGGGUUCAUAUGCAUGAACAAUGAUUGAAUGUAUGAUAUAGAGUAACUGAACAUAAAAGUAAAUGGAUAAUUGAUACUACUAUAACUACUGAGUAUCCACUAAUGUGCAUAUAAAUAAAUACUAUGACUAAACUUGUCUAAAGCUAAGUCCUGAAUUAUGAUACUGAGUAAUUGAUAUCUGAAGUUACUGAUAACUAAUUUACUAAUACUGGUUGACUGUAUCUAACAGUCCAAAUUCAGUAGAACUGAACUGAGUUCUAUUUUAAAGACUAAAACUGAGACUGUGAGAGGUAAUCAUCAAACCGACAUGCCAAAAAUAAGAUAAGAUAACUGAGUUGAGGUCCAACCUAUGACCCCAGUUUAAAGGGUUUCAGUACUGUGCCAUGGGUAAAUACACUGGAGAGUUACCCUCAACUAGUAGAUACUCUAAUAAGAAAGGUGGAACCCUCAUCUGGCAGGUUAAAAUACCUCAUCAACCCUCAACUAGCAGGUUUGAUGUCUCAACCCACGUUGGCUAUGUAGUUCUAAAAUGCACGGAUUUCUUCUAAGGAUCACACCCUUUACUAGCAGGUGAGACCCCAUCCUUGGGUUAAUUCGGUGCUAAAUCCUACUCCCAAAUGAAAGGCACUGAACUGAGUUUACUGAACUGGACUGGGCUGAAUACUAAGUUUACUGAGUUUUCUUGAAUUCUAUAACCGACUGAGUUCUACUAAGUUUUGUAACUGACUAAGAGUAUAACUGAUCAUAACAUGACUGAGAUUCUAUAACUGACACUGGCUCUAGGUAAACAGCUAAAUUGUCGGGUAUUAAAUACCACCAGGACUCGAUAGCUUAAAAGAAAGGCAUAGAAAAAUCUUGAAAUACAUAACAAUGUACACUUGUCCAUAAUUCACUCAUAGAGGUAUUUAAUCAAACACUUGUAAUGCAUCUACUUAUACAUGAAUGGGGAAUACAUCUUAUCAUGUUAUAAUGGCACUAUUUCAUUCACAUAGGCAUUUUAUCAAUCACAUGAGGAACAUGCUUAGGUUAUACAAUAAUCAAAACAUAUAGUUAUCAUGGUUUCAUCAAUCAACUUGUAAAUUGAAGGUUUUAUCAUGAAGGUCAUGUAAUUAAACACAUACAAUGAUUAAUUUCAUAAAAGCAUAUAAUUUAAUCACGGACUAAAACCCAACAAUAACAUGAACAUGAAUUCAAUUCAAUUCAAGCAUGGAAGUUCAUAAAUCAACAAUCUUGUAUUUUUGGAAACGGAUUCGUGGAAUUUAUUGGUGAAAGGAACCCAUAGAUGAACACCUAUCAUACCUUGGAUUUUUAAUUCUUAAAGGUUCUUGGAGAGAAUCUUGAUUUUUACUCUUGUUUCUUGAAGCUAGGGUUUAGCCCCUUUUGAUAGAAAAUGACUUAAUCUUUGAAUAAAUGAUACGAUAAUGGGUUAUUUUAGGAGUAAAUUUUAUUUUUAGACUGAUUAGGGUCGUGGAAAAAUACCCAUUUACCCCUGAGAAUGACUUAAAAAUUCAUACUUAAAAACCCAAUUUUGGGCCCUGGCACGACGCGCUGCUAUCACACCAAGCCACUGGAAAAUGACAACUAGGAAUGUGGCUAGUGGUGCGACAUGGUGGAAUCGUGUUGGAAUACUUAAUGGGACCUGGAAGCGCGGUGCGAUGCUGUACUAUCAUGUUGGAUUACUAGAAAUUGACAAAUAUGAAAAUGAGCUCUAGCGCGAUGCGCCGGUAUUGCGGUACCUCACUGGAAACUGACAAUUGCCAUUUUGGCUUACUCUGCGACGUGCUACUGGCCUGAAUUAUGGUGUUUAAAGACUGAAACUUAAAACAGACAUAACUUUUUACCUAGUUAUGCAAUUUAGGCAAAUUUUAUAUCUUUUGAAAGCUGAUUCAAUUACUACGCAAUGGCAGGCUCUAAACUAAAAAAUACUAAGUGUUUCAAAUAUUUUAUAUUGGAUAACUCAUGAACUGAGAGUUAAGUUAAUCUUGAGAAAUACAGGGUAUUACAGUACCACGAUUAGAAAUAAUCAAAACAGGCACCCCAUUCAGCUUCAUAAUCUCAUGAGUAUACAACUUCACGUAAUCCUCCAUUUAAAGGUUAGUUUGCACGGUCAAAAAAUGCAUAAACUUAGUCAUCCUAUCCACGAUGACCUAAAUCAAAUAAAAAUAUUUUCGAGACCAAGGAAGACCGGUAACGAAGUCCAUAUUGAUCACCUCCCACUACCAUUCAGGCAAAUAAAUUUCUUGAUACAACCCACCUAGCCUCAUGUGCUCAACCUUAAGUUGUUGACACACCAGGCACUUGACCACAAAGUCAACCACACCCUUUUUUAUACCAUUCAACCAAUAGAAAUCCUUGAGAUCAUGAUACAUCUUAGUCGAGCCAGGAUGAACAACAUGGGGCGACUCUUGCACCUCAGCCAAAACCCUUUGUUGCAAUCCAUCGAUAUUGGGAUCACACAACCUCCCUUCACAAGCAUCCAACCAAGAGAACUUGACCUUCUUCUGAGUCAACUUAGUCAAAGAAGUAGUAAUUAAUGAAAAUUUUUCCAUAAACCACCUAUAAUACCUGGCUAAACCCAAGAAGCUCUGAAUAUCGAAUAGAGUCAUGGGCCUAGGCCACCUCUUCACCAAAGCAACCUUCUGCAGAUCCACCAUGAUUCCUUCGCUAGAAAUAAUAUGACCUAAGAAAGUCAUAGCAUUAUACCUAAACUCACACUUAGAGAACUUGGCAUACAACUGUUAUUCCUUUAAGGUCUGCAAUACCAUAUAGAGAUGACUAGCAUGAUCCGCCUCACUCUUUGAAUGAACCAAAAUGUCAUUAAUAAACACAAUGAUAAAGAGAUUCAAAUACUACCUGAAUACCCUAUUCAUCAGAUCCAUAAAUAUUGUCAGAGCAAUAGUCAACCCAAAUGACAUCACCAAAAACCUAAAAUGUCUAUACUCUGUACGAAAAGCCAUCUUAGGGAUAUCCACCUCCCUAAUCUUCAGAUGAUGGUACCCAUACUGAAAAUCUAUCUUAGAGAAGAACUUGGCACCUUGUAACUGGUCAAACAAGCCAUCUAUCCAGGAAAGAGGAUACUUGUUCUUGAUUGUCACCUUGUUCAACUACCUAUAGUCAAUGCAUAUCUGAAGGGAACCAUCCUUCUUGAGCACAAACAACACCGAUGCAUCCCAAGGACAAACACUAGGAUGAAUAAACCCCUUAUCCAGAAAAUUCUUAAGUUGCUCUUUGAGUUCCUUUAACUCAGCUGGAGCCAUUCUAUAUGAAGAAAUAGAAAUUAGAUGAGUGUACCAACGCAAAUCAAUACCAAAUUCUAUUUUCCUAUUCGGAGGAACACUAGGAAGAUCAUUCAAAAAGACCUCUGGAAACUCAUUAACCAUGGGGAUCGAAGACAAAAAAGGACCUUUCGAGUUAGAAUCUUUAACCUAGACAAAGUAAAAAAGGCAACCCUUAGAUAUUAAUCUUCGAGCUCUAAAAUAAGAAAUAAACCUCCCCCUAUGAGCUAAAGAACUACCUUCUAUUUUGAUAACCAGUUCACCAGGGAACUUAAAGAUAACCUUAUGGGUCUGACAAUUCAAAGACGUGUAAUAAGAAUGCAACCAAUCCAUUCCCAGAAUUACAUCAAAUCCACCAUACCCAACUCAAAUAGAUCCACCAAGGUCUACUUGCCACCAGUAGAUACCACACACCCCUUAUAGACUCUCUAAGCAAUAAUCGAGUCACUUACUAUGGUAGAAAUAGAAAAAGGAUCCAAAAUAACUUUUGGAUUAAAACCAAAAGACACAACUACAUAAGGAGUCACAUAAGAAAGAGUGGACCCCGAGUCAAGCAAAUAAUAUACAUCAUGAGAAAAAAGUUAUAACAUACUAGUAACAACAUCAGGUGAUGCCUUAGAUUCCUAAUGGGAUAUCAACGCAUACAACCUAUUCCGAUUAACACUAGAACCAGGAGCAGUAAUAGAAGCAGAUGACAUACCACCAAGUACAGGAGCAGAAGAUAAACCACAAGAAUCUUAUUCUCCACCAUAGAAACCUUAUUAACCGAACAGUCCCUGAGCCAAUGUCCUACCUGGCCAUACAUGAAAUAUUUGUCUCUUUCUUCAUUAUAAUAAUCACUAUGAAGACGACCACAAAAUAGACAAGGAGGAUAUGAAGAAAUUGACUGACCUCCACUCACUUGAGAUUAGGUACCAUAUGCCCAAGAACUAUCACGACCAUAAUGACGCAUGUCGCUCGACUGGAAAGGAGCACUAGAAGAUGAGUAGGAACCUCAACUCCCCCACUUCUUUUUCUACCACUUGCUACUAUCACCUCCACCCUAAGACUGAGUACCUCCCUAAUAGGAAAACCUGCUCCUAUUUUUUUGUAUCUCUCUGAACUACGGAUGCCUCCUUUUUUCAUCCUACACUUUCUAUAUAUGAAUAGUCAACCUCAAGAUGUAUGUAUCUUUAAUGAACAAAGUAGUCUUGCUCUCCAAUAUCCAAUAUAAGUUUAACCCAAAAGCAAACUUCCCCAUUCUCGACCUUAUAUCAGCCAGCAAGUCAGGAGCAUUCCUUGAUAGCUGAUGGAACUUCAAAACAUAUUUCUUUCCCGACAUCCUCCCCUUCUAGAGGUGCAUGAACUCCUCUAUCUUAGCUUCUCACAUUUCUUAAGGAAAGAAUAAAUUCGAGAAGGCAUUAGAAAAGGUCUCCCACAAUCCUUCCUCUUCUAUAUCACUUAUAUCCUUAUCCCUCUCAUUAUUCAAUAGAUAAGAAUCAUAUUUGAGAUGAUAAGCUACAAGUUAACCCCUUCCCUCCCCCUUCUACAUUAGUAACCUGUAUCACCCAAAAGAUCUUCUCUAUCUUAUCUAAGAAGCCCUGUUGAUCCUCCUCCACCUUUACUUCAAUAAAUAUUGGAGGACCCAUCUUUAUAAAUUAUCCAACCCUUAUGGUGCUCGAAGGAAAAGCACUAAACAUAUCUCUCUCACUCUGAGGAGCAACUAAUUUUGCAAUAGCAUGAACAGACAAACGGAAUUCUGAAUUAGUCACCUUACCUUAAGAGGACUAUUGGCAACCGAUGAAGCUACAGAACUAUCAAGGACAGGACAUUGAGAUGGAAGAUGAACCCCAGAAGUAGGAUACACCCUUUUGACAUUACCCCCAGAUGGGAUAGAAGAAUUAUCUUAUGUUUCAGAUCUAUGAGGCAUGAUCUAAAAGACAAAAAGAUCUUCUUCAUCUCAUCUAAGAAACCUUGUGGAUCCUCCUUCACCUUCACUUCAGUAAAUAUUGGGGGAAAUAUCUUCAUAAAGUGUCCAACCCUUAUAGCCUCCGCAGGCAAAGCACUAAACGCAUCCCUCUUAGUCUGAGUAGUCACUAAUUUUGCAAUAGCAUGAAUAGACGAAUAGAAUUUUACAUUAGUCACCUUACCUUGAGGAGGACUAUUAGCAACCAGUGAAACUCUAAAAAUAUCAGGGAUAGGACCAUGAGAUCGAAAAUAAACCCCAAAAGUAGGAUACACCCUUUCAAUAUUACCCUCAGAUGGGAAAGAAGAACUUUCUUAUGUUCCAGAUCUAUGAGGCAUUAUCUAAAAGACAGAAAAAACAAGGAUUAGAGAAGAUUCCAGGACUAAGAACAAAAACUUGAAGAUAGAAUACCAAGAAGGUUAAACAUUCCUAAAUGCCUUGUAGCCUCUCCCAAAUGAGUGUGGCGUACUAGGGCCAUAAUCGUACCUGACCCAAUCGAGUCCAACCGUACCCGCCAACCACAUAAUCAUACAAAACUAAAACCAAGAUGAUAAACCAGACAAUAACUAAAUAAUUUAGACAAAAUUUAAUGUAAUUAAUCCCAAAAUAUAAUAGGAUAGAACAACCAUCGAUAUCGUUCAAUGAUGUAAUCCCUUUAAAUAAUUCCAAUACCAAAGUCGACACCAAUACCGAUCCCAUACAUUUCAACCCCCAGAAGUACCGCAAAGCCUUUAUCCAAAGUAGUAAGAAAAUCUGGUUGGUACAUACCCCAAACUAUGUCCAAAACUAAUAUCUAAAAUAAAAAAUAAGUGUCUAAAAGUAUCCAUAACAUGAAAUAAUGCCUCCCAAAAGGAUGGAAGCUCACCACUUCAGUCCAAAUAUGGUCCUCAAGUUAAUUACUAUGUAAAAGGAGUAGAAUGAACGGUUCCUAUAUAGCAAGGGUAUACAACCGCCAGUAGAUGGGGUUAGCGAGUGACCGUUAGUAUGAAUCUUAGGAUAAUGAUAAAAUAAUGUCAGUUAUAAAACCAAGUAAAACCAUCUAAUACACACAACUAUACAUAUAUAUAUAUAUACCCAUGCAGGGAAAGGGGACCAAGUUUAGCAUGCUUUUAAAACCAUUAUAUGGGUUGUGCAUCAUAGAUAUUCGAAACUAUCUAUGGGCUAUAUGGGUUCAGCUCCCCCUGCUGAAAGAGCCCUAGUGUAUGUAGCCACACGACCAAGGAAGUAUUCCACGGUAUGUAUAGUACAUCCCCCAAAAGUGUGACAUCAUGCACACAGUCCAUGAGGACCAAUCCUCAUAUUGGAAAAUAUGAGUUUCUAAUUUUGGUCUCUCUGGGACCACCACUUUCUAUGGCUUUGUUAAAUAUCCUGCCAUUAAUGCCCAAUCAAAACCAAUUUCCAAAUAGCCAAAUAAUUAUCCAUUUAUUCAUCACGGUCAUUGAUAUUGGUAUCGUCAUACCAACCCUUACUUGCAAGUAUCAUCCAUAGCCAACCAUUUUUAGGUUUAAGAGGACUUCCAAGUGCCCUUCUAUAUACUAUAUUAAACUACUUGGGAGACUUUGAUUUUCCUCACAAGCAUAACCAUUUAGCUUUUAUCCUUUCCAAACUAUUUAAUCCAUGCAUAAUUCUUUUACCAAGUUUAAAACAUGUAAGAAAUCUAUUAAAAGAAGUCAAUGCAAUGAACAUAUCUUUAUAAAUAUUUUAUCAAGCACAUUGGGGGCAUAAUAUAACCAAAACCAAUUCCAAUUACCAAUAAACCAUUCCCAUGUAAUCAAAUUCUCCAAGGCAACCAUUAAUGCGUAUAAAAGCAUUAGUAAAACCAUAGAAACCAUAACUAGAUAUUUAAUAUCAAAAAAUCCCAAAUAAUAGUUGAAAACCAUAAUAAUACAAUAAUAAUAUCCAUGAAAUCAAUCAUAUAAACCAUGCCUUUAGUUAAAUUAACAAUGAGAGAGAGAAAUAUGCCAUAAACCAAGAUGAUGACAAAAAGAAACCACCAAGACAAGCCCCAAAGCAAUCCUUUAGUUGAAACCCUAGCUCCCUUUUCCCAAAAGCUCUUGAGAGAAUUAUGGAAUGUUUUGGAAUAGUUCUAAGUGUUAAGGAAUAGAAUAAUAGGGUAAAUAGCCUCCAAAGUGUAUUAGAAGUCAUGGGUCCUAAUUAGAGUAAGUAGGAAACUGUCUAGAAUACCCCCACUUAAGUCCUUUAAAAACCCAUCACAGGGAUACGACUGACCUAUACGAAUCGUACCUCCCAAUUUUAUUGGUAACCACCACUUGUAUCUAAGCCUCACCCUUGGAUCAGAUACUGUCCAGUAAAUGACUCAUCUAACCAAAUUGUAACCCCAUCCUAUAAUCCAUACACAUGACCCGUAUCCCUAUUAGAAUAGAAUACCAGGAGGAUCAAACAUUGCCUAUCAUACGAGUCCAUGAUACCAAGCCCUAAGACUCACACCUCUAAGUCAUACCUAUUCUAGUGACAAAAAUCAUCCCACCAACUAAUACUGGACAACAUACGAUAGGACCAUACCACUCGUACCCCACCAUAUAGCUUGUACCCAUGAGUCAUAUUAGGUUUAGAGAAUGGAAUUACAGGAAAUUUUUUAAGGGUUAAAACUCAAGAUAUUUCAAUUUUUAUUUCUAAAAUAAGCCAAUGAUCGGGUAGGAAGGUAGUUCCCUAGUACCCAAGGAAAGGUUCAUUUUGUAUGUUACAGCUCUAAAAUUUAUUUCUAAUGUAUGCCUCUAUAACUUAGUGCAUGUUAUAGAUUAUAGAUCCUAAGAUCCUUCUUUGCAGACUAUCCCUGUAGUCUGUGAAUUUCUCAAGCUAUUUUUUGAUGAUCUUCCAGGUAUUCCUCCUGAUAGGGAAAUUUCUAUUGAGAUUGAUCUUCUUCUUGACACUCAUCCCAUUUCUCUUCCUCUUUAUAGAAUAAAUUUGUCUGAGUAGAAGAAACUCAAGGAACAUUUGAAAGAUAUUCUUAACAAGGGUUUUAUCCGUCCUAAUUUAUCUCUAUGGGGUGUUUCUAUUCUAUUCAUACAUAAGAAGUAUGGUUACCUUUGAAUGUGUAUUAAUUAUAUCUAAUUAAAUAAGGUAAUCAUGAAGAAUAAGUACCUUUUUCGAGGAUUAAUGAUCUAUUCGAUUAGCGUUAGGGUGCUAAGUUCUUUUCUAAGAUUGAUCUUUGGUCGGGUUACCAUAAGUUGAAGAUUAGGGAGGUAUCUACCCCUAAUACUGCUUUCCAAAUAUGGUAUGGUCACUUUUAGUUUUUUAUGAUGUCCUUCAAUUUGACUAAUGCCCCAAAAGCAUUUAUAGAUCUUAUGAAUUGGGUUUUCCGUCAAUUCUUGGACUUUUUUGUCAUUAUAUUUGUCAAUGACAUUUGGGUAUAUUCCAAGAGUGAGACGGAUCAUGUUGAUCACCUCUGCCUUGUGUUUCAGACCUUAAAGGAUCAGUAUUUGUAUGGAAAGUUCUCUAAGUUUGAGUUCUAGCUGAAUGUUGUGACUUAUCUAGGUCAUGUUAUUUCUAAUAAAGGUAUCAUGGUGGAUCCACAGAAGGUUGUGGUGGUUAAAAAGUGGCCUACACCUACUACUCCAUUCAAAAUUCGGAGCCUAUUAGGUUUAGCUGGCUAUUAUAGGAAGUUUGUAGAAAGUUUCUCUUUUAUUGCUGCUCCGUUGACUAAGUUGAUUCAGAAGGUUAAAUUUUUGUAGUCUGAUGCAUGCGAGUGUAGUAUCUAGAAGCUAAAGAAUAAGUUGACUUUGGCUUCAGUCUUGACUCUUCUUCAGGGUACUGAUAGUUUUAUUGUCUAUUAUGAUACAUCUCGGGAGGGACGGGGUUUUGUGUUGACACGCAUGAAAAGGUGGUUUCUUUUGAUUUUAGAAAAUUGAAAGUUUAUGAGAAUAAUUAUUCGACCCAUGUUUUGGAAUUAUUAGUUAAGGUGUUUACAUUAAAGAUUUAGCAGCAUUAUUUGUAUGGGGUCAAUAUUGAUAUCUAUUCUGAUCAUAACAGCCUACAAUAUGUGUUCGCCCAGUAAGAAUUAAAUUUUAUGCAAAGAAGAUGGCUUGAAUUUCUCAAGGACUAUGACACUAAUCCUUACUAUCAUCCAGGUAACGAUAAUGUGGAUGUUGAUUCUCUUAGCAGGUUUUCCAUGGGAAGCUUAUCUCAUGUGGAUGAUGAAAAGGGAGAUUUAGUGUAGGAUAUUCACCGCUUGUCUAAUCUUAGAAUUUGUCUCCUAGAUUCUAAGAAUAGUGGUGUGAUUGUUCAAGAGAUGGCAAGGUCAUCUCUUGGUGCUAAAGUAAAGAAGAUGCAGAUGUUGGAUCCUAUUUUGAUACAAAUCAAGAAUGAUGUAGGUAGGAAGAAGGUGAUAGUUUUAGAGAUUGAUGGUGAUGGUAUCUUAAGGUACCAAAAUAGAUUAUGCUUUCUUGAUGUUUAUAGUUUGCGAGGAAGAAUUUUGGCCAAAGUCAAUGAAUCAAGAAAUACUAUUUAUCCUAAUUUUACAAAAAUGUAUCAUGAUCUUAAGGUGGUUUAUUGGUGAAAUAUUAUGAAGUGGGAUGUUGAUAAUUUUGUGGCUAAGUUCCUGGUGUAUCAGGAAGUGAAGGUGGAUUACUUGAGACCUGGUGUACUGCCUCAGGAGACUGAACUGCCUGUAUAGAAAUGGGAGAUAAUUAAUAUGAAUUUUCUUAUGGGUCUUUUGUAGUCACACCAGUAAUUUGAUUUGAUUUGGGUCAUCAAGGAUAGGAUGACUAAUUUUGGUCACUUCUUGCCAGUGAGGACUAAUUUCUCUUCUGAGGAUUAUGCCAAGUUAUUCAUUGAGGAGAUCAUGAAGUUGCAUAGUACUUCAGUUUCCAUCAUAUCUGAUUGGGGUACCAAAUUCUCAUCUCACUUUUGGAGAUCUUUCCAGUGAGGUUUAAGGACUAAGGUAGCCUUUAGCAUCGUUUUCCACCUGCAAAUAGAUGGGCAAGCAGAAAGGAUAAUUUAGGCCUUAGAAGAUAUGCUUUAGGCUUGUGUUUUUUGUUUUGGUGGUUGUUGGGUUGACCACUUGACUCUCAUAGAAUUUGUGCACUACAAUAGUUAUCACUCUAGCAUUGGUAGGGCUCCAUUUGAUGAUUUAUAUGGUAUGAUAUGUAGAUCUCCUAUUGGGUGAUUUGAGGUUGGUGUGAAUAAGUUAUUUGGUCUGGAUCUGGUUCACCAAGACAUGGAAAAGGUAAAGGUGUUUGGGAUAGACUUAAGGUCGCCCAAAGUUGCCAAAAGUCCUACGUGGAUAUAUAUCUAAGAGAGUUGAGUUCAGUGUUGGUGAUUGGAUUUUUCAGAAGGUGCCUCCCAUGAAGUGACACAAUUUUGUAAGAGGGGGAAGCUCAGUCCCAUUAUGUUGGUCCAUACUAGGUUUAAAAAGGGUUGGUAAUGUGCUUAUGAUUUUGAGUUGCCUUAUAGUUUAAGCUCCAUUCAUCUAGUUCUUUAUUUUUUGAUGUUGAGGAAGUGUUGGGUGAACCUUUGACAGUUGUUUCCUGUGAGAAGGUAGGUAUUUCAGAUUUCUUAUCCUAUGAGGAGGUCUUGAUUGAGAUUUUGGAUAGGCAAGUCCAUCGGUUGUGAACAAAGAAGGUGGCUUCGGUAAAGGUUCUUUGGAGGAACCAGAAGGUUGAGGAAGCUACUUGGAAAGCCAAAAAGGACAUGAAGUCCAAGUAUCCAUUCUAGUUUCCCAUUUUCGAUAAUCGUGCUUGAAGUAUGUGUAUUUCUUAACAUCUUUGUUUUCUGUCUUUGUUAAAGGUAAGAGUAGUGGUAUGUGGAGUCAAAUUGUGCUAAUAAAUUUCUUAUCCUAUCUUUUAAGGAUGAAUGAUCCUAAGGGGGGAGUAUGUAAUGCCCCACAUUUUCGAUCCUUGAGAAUUUUUGAAAUUUUAUCCUCACUGUCCGGACUAGGACUCACCUGAUGAGUCAUAAUAUGUCUUUACGGGUCAUAAGACCUAGUCGUAAUAAGUCCAGAAAGAUUUUCCUAAGUCUCUUCCUUGAUAACUACUAUUCUUAAUGAGUCAUAUAGAUUUCUAAUAAGUCAUAAGGAGGUGUAGUGCCCCUAUUAAAACUGUUGAGAGUACGACUUUACCCUAUGAGUUGUAGAGUGCCAGUCGUAAGGUUCACAGUGAAGAGUCCAAGGGGGUUCUCGUGUGGCUACAAUUGAAUGGUCCAAGUUGUAGGGUGACCCUACGAGUUGUAAGGUCAUCCGUAGCGAUGACGGGUUAUAUUUUCAACUUUUAGUAAGGGUAUUUUAGACAUUUACCUAAUAUCCCAAUGACAACCCACGAAUUAUAAUCUUAUUUGGGACCCUAUUCUCAACCAUACUCAACACUAUUACACUCUCUAGGUCUUUUAAAUUCUUUUAAGUAGUCAUACUUUGGGUUUGCCAGAAGUAGGUCAUCCAAGGGCUUCAGGGUUGAAUUCCUUCCAUAAAACUUGUUAUUUCAGGCAUGUUAGUCUUCCCUCAUUGUUAAUUUAUUAAAAACAUAUGUUUUAAAGUAUUUUUCAUGAGAUAUUUAUGUUGGUUUUGAAACAAGGGUUGGGGGUUUGGAGUGCUUGUAGUUGAACAAUAUUUUUCCAUGGUUUACAUAUGAUUAUACAUGAUUUAAUUAUGGUUUUGAACUUGUGGGUGCAUGGGAAUUGUGAAUGAAUUAGGGAUUGUGAUUUCUCCAAACUUGUGACUUUUGAAGUGAUUAUGGCCUCAACUCUAUAUUAUGAAAUUCAUUUUUAAUUAUGAGAAAUGUAGGAAUUUGUAAAAUUGGACCAAGGGGUUGUGCAUUUCCCCAAGUGAGGAUAAUUGUUUUGGUUUGUUGAUGUUACCUUAAUACUAUAGUUGGUAUGACGAUACCAAUAAUGUAUGCCUUGAUGUUAAAUAUGAUUCAAUGAAUGGGAAUAUGUGAUGAAUGCUUUAAAUUAGGCUUUAAUGGGGUUGUGUAGAUGAGUCGUGAAAGUGAAGGUCCGAGUGACCGAUACUGGACACCGCAUUUGUCGAUGUGGGAGUAUAAUUAACUAGAGAGGUUUGAGUCCUCUUAUUAUUAGUAUAUGAUUAGGCAGGUUUGAGUCCAUCGUGCAUAUAUAUGAGAUUAUUCUCCGAUUUGUGCUGAAAUUCAAGAGGGGGUGAAUUGAAAUUUCAGCACAAAUCAGUACACUUCUCAAAAUAGAUUAGAUUUGAAAUAAUUAAGCAAAUAAAUGAUCAAAUGUAAAGUAAGGACAUAGAGAUUUAUCCUAGUUUGAAAAACCAGUAUGAUGCCUACUUCCAGUCCCCUUGGGUUUUAACGUUUCCUUAGAUCAUUCAAUGUCGGGCUCUAGUAAAAUAAUGGGAAACAAGUUUCGAAGACUUAUUUUGUUCUUCAGAUCUUGUGACACCGCUUCAGUUGGUGUUACAAAGUUGACUCGAUCCAACUCUUUAUACAAUAAUUGUAAACUAAAAGUUACAAAGCUUCGUGAGACUAAUAUUGAGACACUUUGAUAUUCUUCUUGAAGUUGUGUAACCCAUGUCUAUCUUCAGUCUUCUUCUUUUAUAGUCUUACGGUGCUCCUCUUCAUAAAAAAAUCCAAUAUAUUUCUUAUCAAUCAAGGAUUUGAAUUGACUCCUUUAUUGAGGAAUGUAGCUGUAUGAUUUUUCCAUAUCAGAUAUAUCUAUAUACCACUUUUACUCACGUCCAUUUCAAAUAUGUCCAUGAUCCUUUCUUCUUUUAAUUUGUUAUGAUUGAUCUAACUUGUUGCGAUUCUCGGGACUGAGAUUUUUAGGAUUAUCUAAUUUUCUAUGAUUCUUGGGACUGAGAUUCUCCUUCUAUUUGUUAUCAUUUUGAUUGAUUCACUUGGAUGCCGCUGAUCAAGAUUUGAUGUCCUUCUAUUCAUAGAGUCGUCUUCCUUACUUGUUGUUUUUAUCCUUCAAUCAUUAGCAUUCUUUCAAUGUCUUGCUUCCUUUAUCCUUCAAUCAUUAGUAGUCUUCCAAUAUCCUCAAAGAUUCACUCGUAUCCUACAAAUAUCCACUUUUUAGUUUGUCAUUAUUAUAACGUAAACUUAGGAGGCUAACAAUCUCCCCCUUUUUUAUAAUGAAAAACAUUCAACAUCAGUUAACUUCCCUAUAAACAUGAUUGGCUUGCUCCCCCUGUCUUUCUGUCUUGGUUGCUAUAGUCGACUCUAUUUUUGUGAUAGUUAACUAGAUCCCCUGUCUUGUUGACUAAUGCAAUCAUCUUCUCCCCCUAUUGACAUAAUCAAAAAGGAUAGAGAAAAUACAUAACAAAGAAGAAACCAAGCACAAAAUAAAGAAGAAGAAACCAAUCAAACACAAAAUAGAUAAUACGGGAUAUGCAAGGUUACGAUAGGAAGUAGCCAUAAAAACACGUCAGAGCAGGAGUAUGUAGUGUGUUUAUACAAUCCAGAGUACGAGAAGGGACAGAACCCCUUUUGAAUAAGAUAAUAGAGUUCAGCAUCAUUUGGCUGGGAAAUAGGUAAGGGUAUUGUGCAUCUUAGAGUAGAAGUGGUCAUAGGAUUUCUCAAUACUAUUGGUGAAGUUAGAGUAAGAUUUUGGUAUGGAGAUUGCAAGUUCAUUGGAAGAGGAGGAAGACUCAGACUUGAUAGAAUCAAACAGGGCGAACAUUCGGUUAAACAAUUUUACCCCUUUCUAUUUGAAGUUGUCGAGAGAGAGUUACACUUUGCCUGUGGUGGUACUGGUCUCCUUGAUCAUCUAUAAUAUCUUGGAAGUUGACUCCUUGAUGUUGGAUAUUCCUUUCUUAAUGAUGGUAAGCCUGCCUUUCAGUUCUUCAAACUCCUUAUCUGUACAGAACAUGGAAUUAGGCAUAGAUUUACUUACCCUGUAUGUGUCAGGUCGGCUUUUGACAUAAUCCUUUUUACACCAUUCUUUUUUAGUUAGAACAUAGCCUAUGAUUGCGAAGUUCUUUGUGCUAUAAGUGGUACAGACUACCACUGGAUAGGCUGAGAGGUCAAUUCCAUAGUAAAGAAGAAUUUGAGAGACGAGCAAAUCGUAGGGCAAACUGGCUGAGGCAUGGAAGUCAAUGGCACUUUUUAUCAUAUAUUCACGAAUCUAGGUACUUCAGCCAAUUUUGUAUUUCUUAAUUAGGAAAUAGAGAAUAAACACAUCUCUGCAUCUUACAUUACUGAUAGAUCCCUUCCGAGGAAUCAAAGUGGUUGCAACAAUAUGGGUCAAGAUUAUAUUUCAGUAGUUGAGAGAUAGAGGACCAAAAGAGGGGCUAUUUGAGUUAGUAUCUGAGAUGGCCUUUCUUGCAUCGACAAACUAACUUCAAAAUUAUCCGGCUAGGUGUCUUUCAUUAAUGGGACAAUACCUGAGAACUUGGUAUCAAACACUUUCUCAAAUAAGAAGUCAUUGAGAAUAAAACGUGUACCUAGAACCAAGGUUUCUAUCUCUCCUCUAUUAGGGGAAAGACAUAGGUUGGCGUAGAACAUGUAGAUGGGGUUUUCAAAUAUUUCCAAGCCACAUAAGUAAAACACCAUCAACAAGUCUUUGUCUUUGAGAAAGUGGCCAAUAUUGCAAUGGGAUUCCUUUAUGUGAUAGAGAUUGAUUACUAGACCAAAAACAAUAGAGCGAUUCUUGAAGGUGAGAAACUAAUCCUUGUGAUUAAAAGUCUAGAACUUAUGCAUGUCCUGUAGAAGAAGAGAAUCUAGAGGAAAGGACCAUCAUUUGUUAGAGGACGACAUAAGGCUUGAAGAAGUUCAUUUUUUAGAGAGAGUGAAAGGAGGCUUCUUCUAAGGAUUCUGAGAGACGGAUGAGAUUAAAGUUUGAGGAAUUUUGAGUUGGGAUGUUUUGGGGAGAUUAUCCAUUGAAUGGGUUUUUGUCAAGGUAAAAAAAAUGGGGAUGGAUGAGUAUAAAAGGGGUAAAGAGAAAGUUAAAGAGAUAGAGUUGAAAGAAGAGGUAUAGAAGUCUUGGGUUAGGGUUGGAGAUAAAAGGGAUGAGGAGUGUUGGGAAGUGAAAGGGUGCAGAGAUGGUAAUGAUAAUGGAAGAGAAAAAGGUGGCGUGUAAAAAGGGAGAUUUUAAAGGAAAGGGCGGGAGUCAGAAAGUAGCCAACAAUUUUUGUACCAAAAAUAAGGGUAUUUUGAAAUCAUUAGAGAUUUGGCAAAAUAUAUUGUUCUGAGUUUUUCUAUAAAAUCUUUCAAAAUAUAUUAUACCGAGGUUUUAUUAUAGUAAACAAAAUCUUUCCUUAUGAAAGUAUAUAAAUUUUUAAAAAAAAUACAAGCUAAUUUUCAAAGUUCACAAAAUAAAAUCACUACUUACUACAUGAUCACAAAUAAAAUGAUGUUUGAUGUCUAUGUGCUUAUCCUUAGAAAGAUGCAUAGUCCAUUUAGACGGACUAAGAUCACUGGUGUUGUUACAUAUUACGUGCACAUAUUUAUAAGACAUAUUAGAAUCAAGUAGUUGACGCAUGAUUCAUAGGAUUUGAGGAACUUACAAAGAUUGUGUAUUCGGCUUUAGUUGUUGGCAAGUCAACUAAGGUUUGCUUCUUUCUGUGUCCUAAACUUAGGGUGUUACCCAUAAUACUCAUUUCAAAAAUUCUUUCAGAAUAUUAUCAAAAUUCUCACAUGAAGAGAUGUUAGAACUAUCAAGAAUUAUAUCAUCAACGUAAUAUUGUACAAUAAGAAAUUUGAAUCAAGUUUUUGUAAGACUAGAGUUGUACAAAAUUUACUUUCUUGAAAAUUGGUAUCUAGAAAGAAAACACUCAAUCUCUCAUGCUAAGCCUUUGGAGCUUUUUUUAGACCAUAGAGUGCUUUUGACAGCUUGAAAACAUGGUUUUGAUAUGACACGCUUUCAAAUCUUGGAAGUUGAAAACUUACUCAUGAAUAAAACCAUUUAAGAAGGCACUUUUGACAUUCAUUUGAUGUGGCUCAAAACAUUUGAAAGCAAUAAUUUCUAAUAAUAUUUGAAUUGUUUCUAACCUUUUCACGGGGGUAAAGAUUUCAUCAUAGUCAAUACCUUCUUUAUUAAAUUAGAGAUACAAGUGAAACAAGUGCUAGUGUUCUCACUGAUGUUCUUGUUUCCACCCCAUCAUCUGGUUUUUUUAGGGUGAACUCAUUUGGAAAGCUAGCAUCGCUUUUUCAUUUUCUUGGAACACUUAGUUUCUAAUGUAGAAGUCGACUCCAAAGAGGGUAUGGUCGACUUUAUCUUGUGAUGGCUCAGAGGUUGUGCGAGCAUUUUCGUUGAAUUGUAAUCACUCACCUACUCUUCAUCAUUACUUAAACUCAUGUAGGAAUUAUUAGAUUUAUCAAAUACAAUAUGCAUAGGUUCUAUAACACAUAAAGUUUUUUUAUCAUAAGAUCUGUAGGCACGAAAAGUGGGAGAAUACUCAAGGAAAAUACCUUCGUUAUUUUGUAGAUCAAGUUUUUCAAAAUUAUUUGUACUAUUUUUAUGGAUAAAGCAUCUGCAUCCAAAAGUAUGAUAGUGGCUAACGUUGGGUUUAUUUUCUCUCCAGAGUUUAUAAGGCAUCCCUUUUUAAUAGGUCUGAUUAGGCAAAUAUUGAAGAUGUGACAUGUUGUGUUUACUGUUUCUGCCCAAAAGUGAUCUGGGAGACUGUGUUCUAACAUAAUGGUCCUGUAGUUUCCUAAAGAGACGAUUCUUUUGCUCUACUACACUAUUCUUGACAUUCACAGAUGAUAGAGAUGUUAUUUUUGUCAUGUUUGAAGGACCAACUUUCACUUUAGAAGGGAUUCUAAACCCGACGUCACACAGCUAACUAGUGUUGAGUAAGUUAUGCUUGAGGUCGUCUACUAGAUAUACUUCAGUAGACUCGCAUGAGAAGCUGAGCUUUACUUAAUCGACUCUGAUAAUGUUCUCUAGUAUUUUCAUUGAAUCUGACUAAUCCUCUACCUACGUUCUUUAAGUAGAAUAAAUUUCUCUAUUAUCGGUUAUGUAUCUAGAACAUCUGCUAUAAAUGACCCACAUUCCCCUUUUUUAUGGUUUUUGCAGGCAUAUUCCUACAAAAUAAGAAGAUUAAUUUUAUUUAGGUAUGCAAGUGGUCUUGGAUCCUUGUGGGUUAGAGGUUCUUCCUUUAGGCUUCCAAACCCACAUGUUGUCAUGCUUAUGCCUGCAGCUAUAGGAUUGUUCCCUUUUUUGCCACAGGUAAAGCAGACAGAUCUUCGAGAGGAGAAAGAGGUCUUGGCUAAUUUAAAUGAUCCUAAUGAGGAAGUUGAGUUAUUUUUAAAAGAGUUAGAUCUUAAAAAACUAUGACCUGGACAUUUCCUAAAGAUAUUCAACUGAAUUUUUACAUCAUCAAGUUCUUCAUAAAGCAAGUCAAUUUCAAUUUGACAUGCUCGAUUUCCAUUUGACAAUUUCUUCGUCCUCUUCUAGUAUUUGUUUAAAUUGAGCUUCGCAACUUUUCUUCUCUAAGAAAAUUUGUUAUACUAGAUUAGUGUACAUGAGUUGCACGAGUAUCAUACAUUUUAUAUAUAAAAAAAAGAAAUAUGAUAUAUCUCAUCUACCAUAGAAAAAACUAUACAAUUAUUUACUUUAUUAGUAUUAUAUUAAUUAUUGUUCCCCUGUGACCUUUAUAUUUUGUUGUAUGGGUGCUGUUUUAAAAACAGAGAGUAUUUAAAGGUUAUACAUUCUUCAUUUCAUUUUCAUAUAAUACUAAAGAUAGUACAAAAAAAAUUAACAAAACUCUCUUGAUUUGCUAGGUAUUGUUCUUCGUCUUUAUGAAGUUAAUAAUAUUAGGGCGAUAGAGUUCACGAUGACUCUGUCGGAUUUUGAAUUAUUUUUCAUUUCCAGCUUUUGGUUGGUUGAUGUUGUUGAUUCACAUCUAAAGCGUAUUAAGAAUAAAGCAGGUGGAGAUAAUAGUGAUGAAGAGAUAAAAAUGCCUAUUUGUAAAUUUUGUUUUCUUGACCUCCAUGAUAGUGUUUUUCUAAAAUGUUGUCUCACAUUCAUAACCUUUUCAGGAUGAAGAUGAAAGUGUUUAAGUUCCUACAUCUAUUUGAGUUAAAGAAUUUGUAGCCGUAGGUGUGUUUUUACAAUCUUCUUCUUUGGCUUUCUGCCUCAUCCACUAUGUUCUUCCAUUUGGUCAUUUUUGUUUCUUUAUCUUUUUAUAGUCUAAGCUGUGUUAAAAUGGUUGUAUCCAAUUAGAAAAUUUGAAAGUUUGGUGUGCUUUAGUGGAAAAAGUAUAUAGAUCUUAAUCAAAUACUUGUUUCAUUUACCAUUCUUUUGAUAGAGCGUGCUGAGAAAAUGAUAAAAAAACAUUGGAUUGAAGUUGAUUAUCAAGCACCAGAUCGUGAUCUUUAAACUUCUAAGCGUGGUUGAUUAAAAAAAGUGAUUUUGUGAAACUUUAAAAUUGAACAUUCUAUUUCAAGAAGAUAAAUAAGAUGGACUUAUUCUUUUCACCUGAUCUAUUUCUUCUCCUUUUAGCCUUGAGGGGACGGGAGGAGAAGGGUGGCAGUUAGAUGAAUUACACAUGCUUUUCCUCUCUUGAUUUUGGUCUCUCUUCUUUCACAUGUUCUAAGUUUUCUAUGUUUUUUAUUUAGUUAUAGGAUGAGUCUACUGAAAUAGUUAUGUGCCUAUUUAAAGGUAUAUGAAAAACUUAUAUCUUUCUUUCCAAAAUACAUACAUCAAGAAUCUAAAAUAAAUAUAUAAAAAUAAAAUAAUUAGUCCAUGUAAAUGUCUGUGAAAGUAAAUAGAAUGCAAUUACUUGGACAAAAGUUGAAUCUAAAGUAAUUGUGUAUCUUCAAAACCUCAAACACAAACAUUUGAAGUUAGUUUGAUAUUACAUACUUUGAAGAGUAAUUCAUUUUUUGUAUCAGGUAAUCAUAUGUAUUGUAUCUCACCUAAUAUCUCAUUGUAGACUAUGUUUUGUUAUAUGUGCCUCUUUCACUUUGGUUGCUCUGUCAUAACCAAAAAUUUAGUCAUUGACAUUGAUAUUUUCCUUGAGAGUGCAACGUAUAGUUGUCCAUGUGAAAAAAGGUGUUGCGGCAAGUAUAGUCCAAUAGUUGGUACUAUUUGUCCAUGUGCUUUGUUUAUCAUCAUUGAAAAGCAUAGUCACACUGAAAAUUAUUUUCUAAUGAAUUUGAAUGGCUAGCCUUUAUUUUCGGGAGGUGAUAGCUGGAUUCGCAGGAUAAACACAUGUUUGAAAGCAUUUUGGCCCAUCAUAUUCUGCAUGUAUGACAUUUUUGUCAAAAUCUCUGCAUAUUAUUCUCGUGUCAUUGCACAAACCAUUGGAAGCAUCUAAAUUUCUCAAUAACAUGAUAGGCACAUUUUCUUCAACACCAAUCUGCAUAUAUAUAAAAGAUACUUUAAGAAUCAAUUUCACAUAAGAAAGAUAUCCAAUGAUGAUUGAAGGUUUAUAAUUGUAAGUUUGAAAUCAAAUAUAUAGUGAUAUGUUUGUAGAGUCAAUAAGCAACCAUAAACUAACAAAAAUCUAUCGAAAGACUAUACUUGUGUGAGAUAACCAAAGGCUGCAAAAACAAAAUAGAAAAAUCAAUUAGAUUUGACCAAAAACAUUAGUUUUUUCUGCAGGUAUAAGCGUUGCCGAUAAAGAGCUAGUAGCAUAUCACCUAAUAGGGUGGCCGAAAAAAAAUUCAAAGGUUCUAACAAUGAAGUUUUGGAAAUCCAGUAUGACUGGAUAUGUGAAGGACAUACAGAGGAAGAUAAUCUAUCUAUAACAGAGGUAAGUGUGACAUUAAACUAAUGUGCAAUGACCUCAUCAUCCAGAUAAAUUGACAUCCUAUCCUAUGUAUUUACUAAGGAAAUUCCUAAAACAGUGGACAUGCCUAUAAAUUUUUUAUUUUAUUUGUAGUAUUGAUGAGAAUAUUUGAAAAUUUAGAUUACCACUUUAAUUAUCAACUUAAUAAGUAAUAUGGUAUGGUUGGUGAUUUAUCCAUUAAUAUAGGAAGGUGGUAUCGAUAUCAAGUAGAUGAUGUUAUCUUGUGCUAUUCAUGGCAAAGAGAAUUAGUGUUUGUUUUAUUCUAUAACUGAAAAACUACUGCUAAUGGACUAUGGUCAUGGAAUGAUGCCUUAAUCUGGUUCAAGCUUUGCAAAACAAAUCGGUAUUUAGGUAAAAGAAUGUCACUUUAGUUUUCCCAACAAUCUUUCAGUACCUUCUUAAUUCAAUUCUAAUGUAUUGCAUUUUAAUAUGUAUAUCAAUGUGUUGUUUUCUAUUCCUAUCUGUUUAUCGUGUUGUUAUGUUGUAGUUUUUGUUCUGUUUCUUUAAGUUAAGGGUCUAUCGAAAACACCCUAUGGCUCUUGAUUUCUAAUAAUGAACAUGUUGAGCUAGAAGAAUCUAUCUUUUUAUGUAGUUGUUUGUUUAUAAAUACUUACUUGAUAAUUUUUUAUAACUCCUUUUGAAUGCUUGAGUUUUAAGCUUUUUUUUUUGUAAUGGAUGGUGGGUGAUUUUUCUUUCUUUCUCAUAAGUGAUCUAUUGUUUUUAGUUUACUUAUAUGUAAUAAUUUGCUUAAAGGAAUAGAGAGUAAGGGUAAAUAGGGUUAAUUAGUUUGGAUAUCAAUUUUCAAGCUAACUGGUAUGUAUAGUUUCUUGAAAGUUGGCAAUAUUCUAUUGGAUGCACCAGGUACUGUACCAGUGCUAGUGUACUGGAAUGGUGUAUUAGGAAGGUGUAUAUUACUAUGGGACAAGCCUUUCAUUUAAGCAUUUGGUGGAUGGCAAGUGAAAUUUUGUGGAAAUUGAUUAUAAGACACAAGCUUACUACCACCACAAAAUAUACAUGUGUAGUUCCAUAAAUGUGAUUUAUCAAAACUUCGAAAAGCAGCAAAGAAUCUUUUUUUGAUGAAUUCCAAUAUUGAUAUAGGACCUAUGCAAUAGUUAUUGAUUCUCAAGAACUCAUACCUCAUACUCUAAAUUUACCCCUGCUAUAGUAGGUAAGGUAUAUAUGAUGUUACUCUUACCUCAUUGAGUUAUUUUUCUAUAAUUUCUUUUACUAGAGUGCGUGGUUACCAACUUGUUCUUGUUGUUUCUGUUUGUUAAAUUUGAAAAAAUCAAAAAUUCCAUACCAAUUACAAAGUUUGACUAUGAUUUUGUAACUUUAAAUUCAUGGAUUACACUUAUAUUCACGUGCUUUUUCGUCUUUAAAAAUGUCUUUCCUUCUUCAUGCUUAGACAUCAUAUUGGUAAUGACUACUUUACUACUAACUCUUUAAUUUUGACCACUUUGAUUAUCUUUAGUUUAUAUAGAUUCUAUUGCAAGAGACAAUAAAAUAAAAGUAAGAGCUUCCAUAUAUAUAUAUAUAUAUAUAUAUAUAUAUUAAACAUAUCUAUUGUCAUAAAAAGAACAGAGGGUGGAAUUAUGAUUCUAAUUAUUAAUUUGCUUUUGGGAAACAAUUGAAAUAUAUCAUUUAAAAAAAAAAAAGCAAGUAUAAUUAAGGAGAUGGUUGUUUUUAGAUGAUGAUAAGGUCAAAUCUUAGGUUGGAUAUAUUAGUGUUGAAAUUUUAUUGUUUUGUAUGUAUUUUAUUAGGACUACAUUCAUGUUUUCUACAGGUAUAAGCAUUGCCGAUAAUGAGCCAGUAGUAUUUCACUUAAUGGUGUGGCUGAACAAAAUUUUCCAAGGUUCUAACCAUAAAGUUUUAGAAGGCCAAUAUGACUGGAUAUGUGAAAGACAUACAGAGUGAGAUGAUCCAUCUACAGCAUAGGUAAGUCUGACAUUAAACUAAUGUCUAAUGAGCUCAACAUUCAGAUAAAUUGGUGUCCUAUCCUAUGCACUUACUAAGAAAGCUCCUAAAACAACAGACAUGGCUUUAAAUUGUUUGCUUUAUUUGUGAUAUUGCUGAGAAUAUUUGGGAAUUCGGAUUACCAAAACUUAGCAAGUGGAAAAGAAUGUCACUUUAAUUUUCCCAGCAAUCUUUAGUACCUUCUUAACUCAAUUCUGAAAUAUAGAAUUUUAAUUUGUAUAUCCAUGUGUUGUUUUCUGUUCCUAUCUGUUUAUCAUGUUGAUAACAUAUAGUUUUUAUUUUAUUUCUCAAACAAGAGUACAUAGAGCAAAAGUUUGUGGAAUGAAGUGGUCUUGCACGGGGAAUGCACUUGCCACUGAUGGCAAUGACAAUCUGGUGUACAUAUGGGAUAUUUCCAAGAUAAGCUCAAGGCAUUAUAUGCAGCGGUUCAAUAAACAUCAUGCUGCAGUCAAGGCCCUAUCUUGGUGUCCAUAAAACCAUGAUGUAUUAGCCUCUAGAUGAGGCAAAGAUGAUGGUUGUCUUAGAAUUCAAAAUACCCAUAAGGGGACAUGCAUCAGCACCAACAAAACUAGAGCUCGAGAAAGUUUUAACAUUAGUUUUUCCUUCUUAUAAAAAUUAUGUAUAAGUCUAUGUAUAAUUAUCCUUCAAUCAUUAGCAGUCUUUUAAUGUCUUGCUUUCUUUAUCCUUCUAUCAUUAGCAGUCUUCUAAUAUCCUGCAAAUAUUAACUCGUAUCCUACAAAGAUCUACACAUUAGUCUGUCUUUAUUAAAACAAAAACAUAGAAGGCUAACACGUGCAGCUACAUACACUAGGUCUUAACCAAGGAGUAAAAACUGGGGGCCAUAUAGCCCGCGGGUACAUGCUAUAACGGUUGAGCUACACAAUCCAGACUAAAUCUUUUAAGUGUAUGGUAAGCCUUGUUCUAUAUCGUGGUAUGUGAUAUAUCUAUAUGUAUGUAUUUGAUUAUGUGCAUUAGUUUUGACUAAUUUUAAAUUGUUGAUCAUGGCAUUAUUUUAUCUUUAUCCCUGAGUUAAAUGCUUGUGUUCACCCCACUAACCGUCUCCAGGCACUUUAUCCCUAGGCGAUGCAUGUACCGGAGCUUUUUCUACUUUUCCUGCACAGAGUUAGGUUGCUCGAUUCGGUCCAUUGGUUUGUGGUGUUGUGGUGAAGUAGUGAGCUUUCAUACCCCAAAAGUCUUAGGCAUUUCACCAGAUUUCAUUCUUAGAUUUGAAUUGAUAAUUAUAUUUAUUAUCAUUAACAUUAUCAUUUUUAUUCUCAUUGUCAUCGGUCAGAGCUGGGAAUAUUCCCGACCAAGACUGGUUUUAUUUCUUUGUUUAGAAGGCUUUGUUUGGAUUACGGUGGAUAUUGGGUGAUAUUGGUCGGUUGGUUGGCCGGUCAUCAAUCAUCGGCUAUAGACAUGUUUUGAUUUUUUUUAGCUUGUUGCAUGCUAUCUUGUUGUAUAUAUGGAAUUCAUCUAACAUUGAGGGGUAUUCUUUUUGGUUUGGUUAGGUGCAGGGGGUGAUCUCUGAUCCAUGUGGGACUUGACAUACCCAUCACGGCUAGGCUCUGGUUCGGGUCGUGACAUCACCAAAGAUGACUUAGGAUUAUUUUGUUGAGGCCUUUUUGGAUAGGUUUGUGCCUUAUUGUUUAAGGGACCAGAUAAGAGAUAAGUUUGAUCAUUUGGAGCAGGAUCCAUGACUAUUGUGGAGUAUAAGUCAUAUUUUAAUGCCUUGUUCAAAUAUUCUUAUACCAGCAUUGUCACCGAGUCUGACAAGAUUUGUAAAUUGAUGAAGAGGUUGGAUGUUUUACUUCAGCUAGCUACUAUCCAGAUAAUAGUGUCAGGGGCAUCAUUUCAGAUUAUAGUAGAUCACUCUAAGAUGACUGAGGCUAUACUUUGAGUGUCAUAAGGAGGUGCCAAGAGGGUGCGCUAUCAGGGUGAGUUUAGAAGUCAAAAUCCUCAAGGUAGAAAUUCUAGAGGCUUCUAUAGAUAUCAUAGUAGACCAGUAAAAGCAUCUUUCAAGGUUCAGGUAGUGUGUAUUUUGAUUCAGCAGCUUUGGGUAGUUGUUCUAACUUAAUUGUACCUCCUUCUAUUGUGCUGGGCUGCAGGGUUUGCUUUGUGUAAGAUAAGGCUAGCCAUUUGGCUAAGGACUAUCCCUAAUAUAUUUUCAAGCCUACUCCUAUAUCGAUGGUAAGAGGUAGAGGUUAUACUAGAGGUAUGCGAGGCAGAGGUAGUGGUUCCUGUGGUAGCAGUCGUGAGGCUACUCAAUUAGGUGGUGGUUGUAUACAAUGCUAUGCUAUACAUGACAUACUAGAGGUAGAAGCUUUUGAUGUUGUAAGUACAGGUAUCAUCCUUGUUUGUUGUAUCUAUGUUAUUUAAUUUGGGGUCAACCUUCUCUUAUGUAUCUACAUAUGGGUUUUGAUUCUACUAGUGAGUCUCUUGCUAUGCCUAUCCAAGUAUCUACUCUUGUAGGAGACUCUUUAGUGGUAGAUCAGGUGUAUUGAUCUUAUGUUGUGACCUUUGUUGGGCAUGUGAUGUAAGAGUAGACGCUAACAUAUUUGAGGCUUUUAACUGAGAAUAAUUGCAAGGUCUUAAGCAACUUUCAUGGUUUUUCAUUGUUUUAUCAUUGAUUUUGCAGUAGAAGCCAAGAUAUAAGAGAACCAAUAGGGAUGGAAGCAAAAAAAGUUAAAAUCUGAAUCAAAUAGAAGAGAAGUAUGGCUGAUGACUUUCCUAAUAAGUUUUUAGCCUUGUGAUAAGUUAUCAGAUAUACCAUCAGCCUUAGACAGAGAAUGGACCUCAACUGAAAAUUAUAACGACAUUUCCUGAUAAGUCGUUAAAGAGUUGAUAGGUCGUUAGAGUCACCGUCAGCCUUAGGCAGAACGUGUGAGCUAAGGUGGAGAAAUGACGACAUUGUCUGAUAUGUCAUCACAUUUCUAAUAAGUCAUUAGGAUUCAUCGUCAGCCUUAAGCAAGAAUUGCUAAAACUGAAGAGGGAGCUGACGACAUUUGUGAUAAGUCGUCAGACUCCUGGUAAAGUGUCAUGAAUAUUGUCACCAAAUUCGAGGAAUUAGUUAACUCUGUGAUUUUAUUUCCUUAUUUAGGUUGAACUAUAAAAAUUAUUGUUUAGGGUUUUUUAAAGGAGUUUUAAACAUAAUUUUGGAACACAAGUAUUUUGUUAUUUUUCUCUCUAGUUUCUUGGCUUGAAAAAUAAUUAACUUUGAAGAGAUUUUCAUCAAUAUUUUGGGAUUUCUAUUGUGAUCUAAUCUGAUAAUCACUAGUUAUUAUUCAUCUUGUGGUAAGUUCAUCUUUAAAAUUAUGAAUACGUCUAGUUGUUUCGUUUAUUACAUUAUGAGUGGCUAAAUCCCUUUGACCCAAAUUAUGGGAUCUAUGGGUUAAGUCUUGGUAAGAUGCUAUGUUUUUUCGAUUCUAAAGGUAAUAGGACUCCUUGAUAAUUCUGAGAUUUUAAUUAUUGUCUAUUGGUUGCAAAUGAUAGAUAGCACUUUCUUUGAUUUGCUUGAGAUAAGAAAUCAAAUAUAGUAGGAAGUGAAUUAUUGACAAGGACUUGGAAACACUAAACUUUCAUUUAAUAAUCGACGUUGUAACAAGGUUGAUUAACUGGAGGUAAAGUCUGGUUAGUAAAUAUAAAUUUCCUAAGUCUGAGAGGAUUAGGUAAUUAAAUUCUUAAGUAGGUCGAGAGACAUUUAGGCAUAACUUCGAUAGAGAUAAUCUAUUGUCCUACCUACUGUGAGAAUCUUGAAUCACUAUUAGAAUCUGUCAAGUACUAAAACCCAUAGUGAACAUAAUUCUAGUUUUUCAUAAACUCUUGAUUACAAACACGGAAACUAAAGUGACCAACAAUUAUUUGCUAAUCUUUAAAACCCCCAUUUCAAGAAACAUCCAACUAUCAGUUGAUUAAAUCGCAAACAACUUAAGUUCACACCAUAUUCUCUGUGGGAUUUGACCCCACCUAGUUGGGCUAUCUAUUGACAAUGAUUGCUUACAUUCUCAUUAGAGAGGUGUAGUUUGAGCGUUAUCAGCAUGAGAUUUAGAUAGAUCUGAUUAUCCUAGAUAUGGUAGAUUUUGAUGUCAUCUUGGGUAUGGAUCAAUUAGCUCCUUAUAAUGAUGUCCUAGACUGUUAUGCCUAGACUGUAACCUUAGCUUUUCUAGGUGUGUAGAGGAUAACUUAGAAAAGUGUGCAUUAUUUAGGUCCUAAGAGUGUUAUAUCUUUUCUUCAAGCUUGUCACUUGGUUGAGCGAGAUGUUUGUCUUAUUUGGCCAAUAUUCAUGAUACUAGUGUUGAUUUCCUACCUUCUUUGUAUUUUUUCAUAUUGGUCAUAAAUUUAUGGAUAUUUUUCCAAUGGAUUUGCCUAGUAUCCCUCCAGAUCGUGAUAUUGACUUUUCCAUUGAUGUUGAGACGGGCACCAAGCCUAUCUCUAUUCCUUCUUAUAGGAUGGCCCCUACGGAGUUGAAUAAAUUGAAAGAUCAGUGGCAGGAGUUGUUGGAUAAGGGUUUUAUCGACCUAGUGUAUCAUCUUAGGAUGCACCUAUAUUAUUUGUGAAGAAAAUGGAUGGGUCUAUGUGUAUGUGUAUUGAUUAUUGAUAGUUGAACAAGGUGAUGAUUAAAAAUAAGUAUCCUCUUCCUUAUAUUGAUGAUUUAUUCAAUCAACUUCAAGGUGCUUUGGUGUUUUUAAAGAUUGAUUUGAGACCCAGGUAUCACCAGUUGAUGAUAAGAGCUUUGAAUAUUUUAAACAUAACUUUUUGGACUCGAUACAGUUAUUAUGAGUUCUUGGUCAUGUUCUUUGGGUUAAAUUAUGCCCCAUCUGUAUUCAUGGUGUAUAAACCGAGUAUUUUGAUUGUAUCUGGACUUCUUUGUUAUUGUAUUUAAAGAUGAUAUUUGGUUUAUUCCAAGAGUAAGGCCGAUCAUAAGGAGUAUUUAUAAAUUCUACUUUAGAGAUUGAGGGAUGAGAAAUUUUAUGCUAAGUUCUCCAAGCGUGAGUUUUGGUUAGAGUCUAGUUCUUUCUUGGGUCAUGUGGUGACCAAAUAUGGUAUUACGAUUGAUUUGACCAAGAUUGUAGCAGUUUCUGACUAGACUAGGCCUACUUCUCUUAUCAAUAUUUGAGUUUUGUUGGUUUAGCAGGUUACUAUCGGUAUUUUAAUGAGGGUUUUUAAUCUAUUGCGGAUCUGUUAACCAAGUUGACUUAGAAGAAGAUUUCUUUUCAGUAGUCCUAUGCUUGUGAGGUGAGCUUUCAGUAGCUUAGGGAUUUAUUGCCAUUAGCUCCUAUCUUAAUUCUUCCUAGGAGGGCAUGGGUUUUACUAUCUUUUGUAAUACUUCGGGUGUUGGGUUAGGUGUUGCGAGGAUGUAGAAGGGUAAGGUGAUUGAGUAUUCUUCUAGUCAGUUGAAGCCCCAACCUACCUAUGAUUUAAAGUUGUGCGUGGUUGUAUUUUCUUUGAAGUUGUGGAGGCACUACUUCUAUGGAGGGCAUUGCGAGAUCUUAUCGGAUCAUCGUAGCCUUCAGUCUUUCCUCAUCCAAUGGGAUCUUAAUAUGAGGCAGUAUCAUUGGCUUGAAUUUUUUAAAUAUUAUGAUCUUACUUAUUCUCUGUCAUUCAAGCAAGGCUAGCAUGGGUAGAUUGGCACAUCUUUUGACCCAGGAGAGGCCUUUGGAUUUAGAGGUUCAGUCUUUGGCUAACCAGAUAGUUAGUCCUGAUAUUUUGAUACCUUGAUGCAUUUUAGCAUUUAUGGAGGCUAGGUCUUCCUUUAUGGAGCAGAUUCGGGCUCAUCAGUUUGAUGAUCUUGGGUUGAGAGUGAUUCAGGAUAAGUUGUUAAGUGGAGAGGCUAAGUAAGCCUUUAUUGAUAUAGAUCGAAUUUUGAGGAUUAGAGGCCGAGUUUUUGUGCCAAGAAUGGGUGAUUGGAUUAGACUAAUUUUGAAGGAGGCUCGUUGUUCAAGGUAUUUUAUCCAUUUGGGAGUGACUAAGAUGUAUUGUGACUGGUAGGGUGGUAUGAGGAAGGACAUAGCGGAUUUUAUAGCUUGUAAUGUAUGUUGUCGGCAGGAGAAGAUCAAGUAUUUGAGGCAUGGUGGGUUGCUUCAAAGGUUACGUACUCCCGAGAAGAAAUAGGAAUGAAUCACUAUGAACUUUUUGACUAGGUUGCCCCGUACUUUUUGUUCUUCUUAUAAUUUUUAGGUCAUCAUGGAUCAAUUGACCAAAUUUGUUCAUUUCAUUUUGAUUCUGGUUUUUUUCAAUGUUGAGAGGUUAGCCCGUAUCAAUAUUUAUGAGAUAGUUUUAGGUUGGUAACAUAGUUGGUAUGGUUUAUGGCUUUUGUAUCUCAUUUUGAUCCUCAGUUUGAAAAAUUAUGAAUUUAGAUUUUAGGGGUCAAAUUUGUGAAAAUGAUAAUUUUUUAAAAAUUUGAUAUUGCCAUUGAGUUCGAAGCAUCAAAUUAGAUAGCGUAGCAUAGUUUGUUUGCGUUAUCAGGAUUUUUAAUGAAUCUAAAGGGGCCUACGGAGACUUGGAAUUCUCCAAGUCUUUGGUUGAUGUACCAUUCAGUUGGUGCAUCUUCUAAAGCGAUAUUUUGGUCACUUAAGCGAAGCUUGCGAUCGCGGCAAGCUGGUCACUUAAGCGACCAAGAUGUCAGUCGGGGGUAUAAGUGGCAUGGGGUCUCUUACGAGACACUCCUGGACCAGGAAGGAAUCACAAAAGCAAUACUUGGUAUCUUAAGCGAUAGUCGCUUAAGAGACCCAGUGUUCGCUUAAGCGAUGCCUGGGUGGUUUAAAUAUCCCUUUUUAUCAAUUUUUCACCAUUUUUGACACCUCAAGCUUCGAAUUUUAGAGUUUUGGGUGAUUUCUUCCAUUUUCAAGCUUGGGUAAACUCCAAAUCUCUAUUUUAAUUUUUGUCAUCUGAAUUUUGUUAAAACUUGAUUUCAAAAGUGGAAUUUGGAGAUUUUGGAUCGAAAGGUCUAAAUUAGUAAUUCCUCAAUUUAAACCCCAAUUUCAACCCGUUUUCACUUGGGUUUUCUUCUAUGGCUUCCUUUAUGGCUAACAUAUUUUUGAAAUUUUGAUUUUACCCUUCUUUUCUAAAAAUUUGUUUUAGGGGUCUAUUUUGAUUCAAAUGCAGAAAUGGACAAUACGAGUGUUGUUUGCUUUCUUUUGACAUCUAGAUUCUAUAUUUGUAUGUUUUAGUUGAUUUUGAGUGCGUUCGUAAGGGGAAGGCUCCGUGUUGAAGGCUUUUGGAUCCGAUUUUCUUCAUUCAAGGUAGAUUAUAAAUUCACCUUCUUCAGACUGGGCUAGGUAGUUAAUAUUGAUAUAAAAUCAUAUUAUGGGUAUGGGACCUAAUCUAUGGAAAUGGCUUUAUUAUUAUUUCAUGCUUGUGCAAGGGUUGUGUUGUUGUUAUUUAGUGGUUUUGAGACAAUAUUUUCUACGUGUGACCAUGUGGGUUAUUAUAUGAUGUUAUUGGCCUAGUAUUUAUGUAAUUAGUUGUAUUCUUUUUGGUGUAAAAAUGUCUAAGUUGGUAUCAACAUGGUAUCAAAUGACGUAUUAUUGUAUAUCUUAGUCUAUUUAUUUAUGGACUACAUUGGAUCAUUCAUAGAUAGUUGGUAUAUUGAGUGGAUUUGUGGCUCACAUGAUUGGUAUAAUAGUUGGAGUUGGAAAUUCUCAUUCUGGUUGGUUGUGAGCAUUACAUCCUCAGUUUUGAGUAGGUUUCCUUUGAAUGACACUCAGCUGCGAUUUUCUAAUUUUGAAAAACAAUACCCUAAACCUUAUUGACUACUAUUACCAAAAUUGUAGCUGCUCCGGCCAAUAUGGCCACCAUAGCUGGUGGGACUAUCCCACCGGAUAAUAGUAGCUUCCAAAAUAUUGAGGACAGUAAUCAGAACAUUCAAAAAGAAGAUGGAAAUAAGAAAUUUAUAGAUCUAUUGAAACCAACAGUGGUGGAUAUUACUAAUAUUAGGAUUCCGCCUAAACCCAUUACUAUGCUGCAUGGAGAGCCUUCUAUUAUGUGGAAAUCAUCACAGGUGCAAAAUCUUAUCAUGCAAGAAAAUCUAAAAUAUGCUAUAAUCGGUAAAUUCUCAUAUGGUAAGCCACAUAUUGAAGUUUUAUGUAAAAUCAUCCCAAAUCGAUGUGGUAUAAAGGGGCAAUGCAUCAUUGGAGUAUUGGAUUAAAGGCAUAUAUUAUUAAGACUGGAGAUGUUUGAGGACUAUGUUCAAUUAUUGUCAACUGCAGCUUUUUACAUUGGCUCAAUAGAGAAAUACUGGCAGAUGAGGAAAUUGAAAUGGAAUCCAUGGUUUGAACCGGAUAUUGAAACCACAGUUGCAGUAGCAUGGAUAUCCAUGCCAGAUUUACCGCUGAAUUUUUUUGCAAAAGAUGCAAUCUUUUCUAUUGCUUCAGCAGUUAGCAAACCUCUUACAGUUGAUAUGGCUACUAAAAAUCACACUAGACCUAGUUGUGCACGAGUGAAAGUGGAGGUUGACCUAGUAGAAAAACUACCCCAAAUGAUUUGAAUUAAUGUAGAAAAUGAAGAUACAGGGGAAAUCAAAUCCAAGUGGGUCCAAAUUCAGUAUACUUACAUGCCAAAGUAUUAUACAGAAUAUUGUUUACAAGGACAUGAUGAAAAAAGUUGUUAGAAUAAACAUCCAGAGUUAUAUGACAAACAGAAGCAGGAAAGCAAGGAGGCAGAAACAAAGAUGAAAGAGAAAGAAAAUAAUAUUCAGAGGAGUCAAGCACAUAAUCAGAAUAAUACAAAGAGAGAAAUCAAUACCAAUCAUCAGUGGCUAAUAAGGAAAAAUAGAUAUAAAAAGGAUAGAUUUUGUCACAUUCUGGGGGAGUUGAAUAAGGAAGAUGAAAAGGAGUUGCAUAUGUCAAAUACUUUUGCAGCUCUUGAAGAUAAUGAUAACAUGGAUAAUACCAAUAAUGACAAGGAAGGAAAAGGUGAAACUAACUUUCAGAAAGGGGGAGAAAACAUCAGUACAAAAGAAUAGGUCACUAGCAGUUUUGGCAAAGGCAAAGCAGUUAGUCAAGGGGAUAAGUCAGUUGAUGAAAAGCAAAUAAAUUAGGAGAUAGUCGAUAGGGAUGCAAAUAAUAAUAGUGAAGAAGAUUACAAUAGAAUGGAGGAGCAGAGUAAUUCCAGCAAAAUCUUGGAACCAAGUGAAGAAAGUAGCAAGAAGAAGAUAUCACAUACUGAUAGGGAUCACUGUGUACAGGAAGAAGGGAACAAAAAAUGCAGCUAUAGGUAUAUGAUAAAGAAUUGCAAGAGUUGAUCGUAUUAGAGGAGAUUAUACCCAUAGCAAUAAAAGUAUAGAACAUGCUUGAAAAUAGUAAUGGAAGACCUUGAUGAGAAUGAUCUUGAAGAAAAUAUCAAUCAGCUGGCUAAAGCAGCAAUCUGUCACCCAAACAAAUAGAGGCUAUGAAGGAGAAGCAAGGAGGAAUAAAGAAAAAAAAAGUGGUAGUGGAGCAGAGGCUAAAUCACAAACAAUGCAUACAAGGAGUCACACAGCUAAAUCAAAAAUCCAAAUGAAUGCAUUGAUUUGGAACAUAAGGUCGGUUAAUACAUAACAGGCUUUUACAUAAGGUCAGUUAAUACAUAACAGCAUUUUACUAGACUAAUAACAAUGCAAAAAAAAUGCCAAUUUUACUUCAUUGGAUUAAUGGAACCUUUCCAAGAUGGUCAGUAUAUUGAAGAGUAUAGGAGGAAGCUGGGUAUGAAGCAUGCUAUACUAAAUAUAUCUGGAAAGAUUUGGGCAUUCAUGGAAGAGAAUGUGGAAUUUAGUAUUGUGAAAGAUGAGAGCAGCAGUUAACUCUAAAAGUUUCUAAUCAAAAUGCAGGUAUCUCAUUGUUGGUUACUUUAGUGUAUGCUAAAUGUAAUACAAUUGAGAGGUUGUUACUGUGGGAUUCAUUAACUGAUUUGUUUGAUUCAUAUCAAUAGCCUUGGCUAAUAGGAGGGGAUUUUAAUGUAAUAAGAAGUGAGAAAGAAAAGCUGGGGGUUUACCUGUUACUUUUAAUAAAACUCAUGAAUUUAAUCAGUGGAUCAUUUUAUGUAAUAUGGAAGAAAUACAGUUUAAAGGGAGUAAAUUUAUUUGGUGGAAUGGGAGAACAGAUGAGAAUUGCAUUUUCAAGAGGUUAGACAGGGUUUUGUGCAAUGAUAAAUUGCAAAAUAUGUUUCAGCAGAUGGAAGUAGAGCAUCUAGCUAGGAGUGGAUCAGAUCAUUCUCCUAUGCUAAUUCAUUGCAAAAUAAAGAAUGAGCAGAUAGUUAGAUCUUUUAGAUUUCUAAAUUUUUGGUUAAAAGAGGAAGCAUGUUUGAAGGUGAUUAAAUAGAAGUUGAAAAAUACUAAAUUAGCCUUAGCUAAAUGGAGUAAAGAGCAUUUUGGUAAUAUUUUCUAGGAAAUUGCUACACUGGAGGAUAUUAUCAGAGUAAGAGAAAAAUAAUUGGAGGAGGAUCCCAGUGGAAUGAAUAGAGAUAGUCUAUUUGAAGCUCAUGCUGAACUGAAUAUGCAAUUAAAAAGAGAAAAAGAUUACUGAAGACAAAAGGCUGGGUAUGAAUGGUUCAAGGAUGGAGAGAGAAACACCAAAUUCUUUCACACUAUUAUUAAACAAAGGAGAAGCAGGCUCAGGAUCAGUAAGAUACAGAAUGAAAAUGAAGAAUGGUUAGAGGAAGUGCCAGAUAUUGCAGAGGCUGCUGUCAAGUUUUUCCAUAAAUAGUUCACCAAACAAAAAGAUGUUAAAGAUUUCAGCAUGCUGGAGGAAAUACCAAAAGUGGUGACCGAUGAACAAAAUACAGAAAUAAUGAGAAUUCCUAAUAAGGAUGAGGUCAAAAAAGCAGUGAUGGGGCUGAAUAGAGAUAGUGCAGGUGGACCAGAUGGGAUGACAGGAGCAUUCUACCAAGAUGCUUGGGAGAUUAUUAAGUAGGACAUUCACAAAAUGGUAAAAGCUUUCUUUUGUUGAUUUCAACUUCCCCGAUUUAUUACUCAUACUAAUUUGGUUUUGUUACCAAAGAAUUUAGAAGUGAACAAUUUUACAGGCAUGAGGCCUAUCUCACUUAGUAAUUUUGUUAAUAAGAUUUUUUCAAGAAUUGUUCAUGAAAGGAUUAAAGGAAUUUUACCUCAAUUGAUAUCUCCAGACCAGGCAGGUUUUGUUCAAGGAAGGAGUAUUGCUGAAAAUGUACUUGUAGUUCAAGAAAUUAUUUUAGAAAUUAGAAAGAAAGGUAAGCGACCUAACAUGGUUUUAAAGCUUGACAUGAUGAAAGCAUAUGAUAGAGUGGAAUGGCUAUUUUUAAAAAAGGUAUUGAGAUCAUUUGGUUUUUCAAAGGUGCUGAUAGACAUGGUCUUUAGACUGUUGGAAAAUAAUUGGUAUUCAAUACUUUUAAAUGGUUAGCCUAAAGGAUUUUUUAGAUCUACAAGAGGGUUGAAGCAGGGGGAUCCAUUAUCACCAACUUUGUUUAUAAUAGCAGCAGAGGUGCUAUCAAUAUCACUGAAGAGAUAGAAGCAAAAUAAGGAGUUCAAGCUAUUUGGGAUGCCAAGAUGAAGUCCAAAAUUGAAUCACCUUUCUUUUGCAGAUGAUAUGAUCAUAUUGUGCAAAGCUAAAGUGAAAACUUUACAGUUGGUCACUAUAGUUUUGGAUAAAUAUGAGGAAAUAUCAAGACAAAAAAUAGACAAAGAGAAGAGUGCAAUUUAUUUGCACAAAGAAGUAUCUAAUAGAAUAAAGGUGUUAGAAGAAAUGGCUACUGGUAUUUUGAGAAGAGAAUUCCCUUUCCUUUACCUAGGGUGUCCAAUCUUUUACAUGAGAAAGAAAAGGGAUUACUAUCAGCAAUUACUGAACAAAAUUGCUAGUAAAGUGCAGACAUGGAAAGGCAAAUUGCUUUCUUAUUGAGGUAGAGCUGUGCUGAUCAAGCAUAUUUUACAAAGCAUCCCAAUACAUUGUUUAUCAAUAUUGAACCCUCCCAUGAAUGUAUUGAAUACUAUUCAAAGAAUUCUAGCUUAAUUUUUUUUGGAGUAGUAAAAUUGGAGAGAAGGAAAGGUAUUGGGUAAAAUGGCAAACUUUGAGCUUAUCAUAAGAGGAAGGGAGUUGGGUUUUAGAAGGAUUGUUGAUGUCUCUAUGGCACUUUUUUGUAAGCUGUGGUGGUCUUUUAGGACUACAAAAAUAAUUUGGAGGGAGUAUAUGUUCAAUAAAUACUGCAAAAAAAAGCAUCCAAAUUUAGUAAGGUGGAAAACUGGUGCAGGUGGAUCACAAGUGUGGAAGAAGAUGCUACUGGCAAGAGACAUGGCGAAGCAUUUGAUAGUAUGGCAAGUAAGGCAAGGAAAUAGUGACAUAUGGUUGGAUAACUGGACUGUACAAGGAGAUUUAUAUUUUAUAAUGGAAGGAGCUGAUGAAGAACAAAGUCAGUAUAGGCAGCUUACAGAAUUGAUCAGAAAUGAUACAUGGGAUGAACAAGUGAUUAGAGUUUUAUUCACUGAUGAAGUAGCAGAUCAUGUUAUUAACAAAAUCAGCCCUCCAUCAGGUGCAGAGGAGGAUUGGCCUAUAUGGAGUAUUGAACCAAAAAGUUUGUUCACAGUUAAAUCAGACUGGCAAUAUAUAAGGAAUAGGUAAGGGAUAGAUAACAUUUUCAAGAAGAUAUAGGUGAAAGGUGUACCUUUUAAGAUUAGUUUCUUCAUGUGGAGAAGAAGAAUUCAUGUGGAUGAUACUGUUAGGAGAUUGUUAGGAGAUGAGGGAUACAGGGUCCAUCUAAGUGCUAGUGUUGUAAUGCCCCAGAAGUGGAGAUAAUAGCUCAUAUCUUCAGGAAUUCUUUUCAAGCUAACAGGACUUGGUCCUAUUUUUUUAUUUUGUAGGUAUUCAUAUUCACAAUCUGACUCAAAGUGGAACAAUCCUAAGAUGGUGGAAUGCUGAAGUAAAAGGAAGAGAAAAGCAAUAUUACUUUGCUCUUCCUAGCAUUAUUCUGUGGGAACAGUGGAGGAGAAGGAACAGAAAGAAACAUGAAGAUAAGGAAACUACAGGUUUGAGGAUCAUAUAUAAUGUUACAAGGAAUCUUAUAAUGAUGUUGAAGGUUAGGAAUCCAGCAAUGGAAUUCCAACAGAAUGGCCACACAUAAUUGCAGACAUGAGAAAAUUACAAACAAGAAUAAAAGCCAUUACAGUAAUGUGGAAGGCUUUGGAGGAGGGAUGGGUAAAUUACAACACAGAUGGAGCUGUGAGGGGAGAGGGAGGAAGCAAUUCCUAUGUUUUUUGUUUGAGGAAUGAGAAUGGAGAUGUCUUAUUUGCUAAGGGAGAACCUAUAACGCCCCGAAAAAUGGGUCCCGGAGCGUCACACGGUGCUUGAGGCUACGGGUAGCCCUAAGCUAACCCUUUGAGCCAUUUUCAUUCAGUUCAACACAAAUCAAUGGGGUUUCCAUAAAUAACCCUCAAAUAUCAACAGAGUAAUCAUCAUCCAAGAAUAAAAGAAUUUCAGAAAGAUAAAAAAAUCCGACUUAUUAGUCAACUCCCAACAUCUAUACUAGUUUAUCAAGCCUCUAAGAAAAUCAAUAAAACCAUCGAGCCAUUGAGACAUGCCCCAACUAACUCAUACUCAGUUAUCAAAUGUAAAUAAUUACGUGAAACCAACAUUAGACAUCAUGUCCUUGGAAUGUGAGGACUCACCACAACAAAGGAUGUAGAACAGUGUGCCCGAAGAAUUACUGUCGAACCUGGAACUGAGAACCUGAACCUACAUUCUAAGAAAAUGCAGCCCACAUCCGAAGAUGUGGGUCAGUACCAUGGAAAGGAACCGAGUAUAUGGGGGUGUAUGCAGUUGUAUAAACAUCAUCAUCNNNNNNNNNNNNNNNNNNNNNNNNNNNNNNNNNNNNNNNNNNNNNNNNNNNNNNNNNNNNNNNNNNNNNNNNNNNNNNNNNNNNNNNNNNNNNNNNNNNNNNNNNNNNNNNNNNNNNNNNNNNNNNNNNNNNNNNNNNNNNNNNNNNNNNNNNNNNNNNNNNNNNNNNNNNNNNNNNNNNNNNNNNNNNNNNNNNNNNNNNNNNNNNNNNNNNNNNNNNNNNNNNNNNNNNNNNNNNNNNNNNNNNNNNNNNNNNNNNNNNNNNNNNNNNNNNNNNNNNNNNNNNNNNNNNNNNNNNNNNNNNNNNNNNNNNNNNNNNNNNNNNNNNNNNNNNNNNNNNNNNNNNNNNNNNNNNNNNNNNNNNNNNNNNNNNNNNNNGGGCACGUAGUUCUAGGGAAGUAAGGUCGCUUUAUACCUCCCACUCGGUGCUAAAGAUUUCUCCCGGACUUAGCUCAGAUCAUUUCAAAGACAAUCCACAACAAAACAAUUUCAGUAAUAUAUAAAUAUACAUCGGGAGCCAUCAUGCUUCCCAUCUAUCAAAAUCAACCACGUUGUGGAUUUCUUUCACACUCGAGUUCAAAACAACUCCAUUAAGACCAAAAGGUCAAAUCAUUCAAAAUAUCUCAAAUAUUCAACAUCAACGUGCUUAUAACACACACUUUCUCAAAAAAAA
rnacentral:lncRNA from 1 species